GUCUGAGUUGGUGGCGGCGGCGGCCGAGCCCAAGAGCCCGGUCGCCCUGGCAGCCUUCGACGGCUUCUUCUCUGCUUAACGAGUAGUGUGUGAAUUGAUUCGGAGGAGUUUACCUCUCCCCCAGUGUCAUGUACUGUAACUCCGAUGUGUACAUAACCGUGUGGUUUGCUGAUUUGCAACAAGGAAGAAGUGUGCUUUUUGUACCGCUCUUGGUACCUUCUUGGAGGGCAGAUAUGCCUAUGCGUUUUGCCAUUUUAUCUUUGAAAUUUCGUGUCAAGCUGCCAACAGACUAGUCUGGUUGUCUUGGCAUACUCGAGUGGUUUUGCCGACUGCUGAUGCUUGUUUGAAGCCCCAACCUUCAUCCAAUCCCUUCAAAUCUUUAUUUAUCCCUAAUACAUUAGGUAGAAGUAGUGUAUUGAGUAUUGAGAAAAAUGCAUUAUAAUUUGAGGAGAAAUAUGGGGAUGAAACAUGUCAAAUACACUAGAAUAAAAUGGUGUUAUGGGAUGUGUGGUGAUCGAGUAGUUUGACCAGAAUAAUCCCCAUAAAUUUCCUAAAAUACACUAGUACCAACGAGUAGUUUGACCAGAAUAAUCCCCAUAAAUUUCCUAAAAUACACUAGUACCAAACAAGUCCUUGAUGGUGGCACCCCGACACAGCAAUAGCUCAUCAUAUGAAACCAAAAUGGGGUUAUUAUGGCCCGGUUUAAAGGCGUUAAACAGGGAUGCAAACAUGUUCGCCAAAUCAGCGGCGAUGAGGACCGAAGACCGCCGCGUCAAGUGGCAGGGCUGAAACCGCAUCACCUCCAUACAGGUUUACUAGAUGUGAGAAAAUUCGUUUGGUAGCGUACACGGAGGUCUAGUUUGCACUCACACGAAUCAUAAAGCAGCUCAUAGCAUGGCUAGUUAGAGCAUCUUCAACAAACGAGGCUGGGCGCGCGUAACGACCGUUUUUGCGACGCUGCAAAUUUUUAACACGUCAACAUGUCGCUUCAACAGACGCUAUAACAAAUCAAGCGCGCGUUCAGCUGAUGCACAUAUAAGAUGAUCAAACAUUCAAAAUAUGCAAAGUUUGCACAAACAAAAUGAGCACAAGCAAGUUCAUGACAAACAAGUUCACACAAAUAAAUUAAACAUGAACAAUCAUUCUUCAUCCUCUUCUUUCCGCAAAAAAGAAAAAUUCUUUAUCCUCUUCCUCAUCGUUGGCCUCUUUCGAUUUGUCCGUUUCUUCUUCUGAUUUUUCAUCCUCUUGUUUGUUCUCUUUCUCAUUGAAAAGUCGAAUGGUGUUUGAACUAUCAAUAAAGUAGCAGUUCAUAGCAUGGCUAGUUAGAGCAUCUUCAACAAACGAGGCUAGGCACGCGUAACGACCGUUUUUGUGCUUCAUCAGACGCUGCAAAUUUUUAACACGUCAACAGACGCUAUAACAAAUCAAGCGCGCGUUCAGCUGACGCACAUAUAAGAUGAUCAAACAUUCAAAAUAUGCAAAGUUUGCACAAACAAAAUAAGCACAAGCAAGUUCAUGACAAACAAGUUCACACAAAUAAAUUAAACAUGAACAAUCAUUCUUCAUCCUCUUCUUUCUGCAAAAAAAAUAAUUCUUUAUCCUCUUCCUCAUCGUUGGCCUCUUUCGAUUUGUCCGUUUCUUCUUCUGAUUUUUCAAUCUCUUGUUUGUUCUCCUUUUCAUUGAAAAGUCGAACGGUGUUUGAACUAUCAAUAAAGGUAUCAUACAAGGCAUGUGAGGCACACCGAAAACUCCCAUCCAUCCAUGCCAUCGAAAGCAUGUGAGAACAACUAUGCCAUCGAAAGCAUGUGAGAACAACUAAAAUCAGACUACAUAUGCGCACAUUUGCCAACAACAACAAAAUAAAAACAAAAAUUGUACCUUGUGAGCAUUUCAUCAAGGAUUAUGUGUGCAUUGGCCGCCGACGCAACAAAUUGCGAGGUUUUCACCGCUUCGCGCGGCGGAGGUACGGCCGGCUUCACUCGUGUCUUCUUCUUUAUUACCGCUUUCCNNNNNNNNNNNNNNNNNNNNNNNNNNNNNNNNNNNNNNNNNNNNNNNNNNNNNNNNNNNNNNNNNNNNNNNNNNNNNNNNNNNNNNNNNNNNNNNNNNNNUUGAGGGCCAAGGCAGGAGAGCCACACGGGGCCCACAAGCCCUGUAGCCGCCACCACGGGGGGGGGGGGCUACCAGUCUUGUGGACCCCCUGGAGCUCCCCUGCCCUAGCUCUUUCGCCUAUAAAUUCCCUAAAAUCCCAGAAAAAAAUCAGGGCAUCCACGAAAACACUUUUCCGCCGCCGCAAGCUUCCGUUUCCGCGAUAUCUCAUCUGGAGACCCUUCCCGGUGCCCUGCCGAAGGGGACUUUGGAGUUGGAGGGCUUCUACAUCAACAUCAUCACCUCUCCAAUGACUCGUGAGUAGUCCACUUCAGACCUACACGUCCGUAGCUAGUAGCUAGAUGGAUUCUUCUCUCUCUUGGAUCUUCAAUACAAAGUUCUCCAUGAUCUUCAUGGAGAUCUAUCCUAUGUAAUCCUCUUUGGUGGUGUGUUUGUCGAGAUCCGAUGAAUUGUGGAUUUGUGAUCAGAUUAUCUAUGAAUUGUAUUUGAGUCUUUGCUGAUUUCUUAUAUGAUGAUUUGAUAUCCUUGUAAGUCUCUCCGAGUCUUGGUUUUGUUUGGCCAACUAGAUCUAUGAUUCUUGCAAUGGGAGAAGUGCUUGGUUUUGGGUUCAUACCGUGUGGUGACCUUUCCCAGUGACAGAAGGGGCAGCAAGGCACACAUCAUGUUGUUGCCAUCAAGGGUAAUAAGAUGGGCUUUUAUCAUAGAUAUGAGAUUGUCCAUCUACAUCAUGUCAUCUUGCUUAAGGCGUUACUCUGUUCUUAUGAACCUAAAACACUAGAUGCAUGCUGGAUAGCGGUCGACGUGUGGAGUAAUAGUAGUAGAUGCAGAAAGUAUCGGUCUACUUGCUUUGGACGUGAUGCCUAUAGAUAUAAUCAUUGCCAUAGAUAACAUCACGACUUUGCGCGGUUCUAUCAAUUGCUCGACAGUAAUCCGUUCACCCACGGUCUAAUUGCUUUCAUGAGAGAAGCCACUAGUGAACACCACGGCCCCGGGUCUAUCCAUAACUAUCGUCUCCACUUCCACUUUUACUUUGCUUUUUUACCUUUUUGCUUUCAGUUCUCACUUUGCAAACAAUCUAUAAGGGAUUGACAACCCCUUCAUAGCGUUGGGUGCAAGCUCUUUGUGUUUGUGCAGGUACUUGUGACUCGACGCGAUCCUCCCACUGGAUCGAUACCUUGGUUCUCAAACUGAGGGAAAUACUUACCGCCGCUGUGCUACAUCACCCUUUCCUCUUCAAGGGAACACCAACACAAGGCUCCAAGGCCGCGGGGAAAUCCUUUGCAUAUUUGCCAAGGAAGUCCCUAUAGGCGUAGCCAGUAGCAGCAGGAUUCCUGGCGCCGUUGUCAGGGAAGGUCUGUUGUCACAGUAGCAGAAGGAUUUCUAGAGCCGUUGCCGGGGAGGAGGAUCGCUUGCCGAGGAGUAUCAAGACAAGAAUAAUCUCCCGUCAACACGCCUAUUUCUAGCAUGGGGAAGGGAGAUCAAGUCAAGAUCUAUCAAAGUAGGUGUCACAAACUCAUCUCUUGCAUUUACUUUUUUUGCCAGUUGCCUCUCGUUUUCCUCUCCCCCACUUCACAUUUGCCGUUUUCAUUUGCCUUUCUCCUUUGCCGUUUUAUUUUUCCUUUUCUCCUUUGCCGUUUUCAUUUGCCUUUCUCCUUUGCCGUUUUCUUUUUUCCUUUUGCCGUUCUCUUUUGCCCGUUUCACUCACUUUCUUCCUGCUCGUUUGUGUGUGGGAUAGUCCAUCAAUGGCUAGACCCACCACUCCAAACGAUACCCCUGAGAACGAAGUUCUCAGUUUCAAGCAGAAUGAGGAAGAAAAUUUAAAGGACACUUGGUACAGGAUUUGCAAUGCUCAAAGUAGAUCUACUCGUAAGCAGUCCACUACCGUUCUUCUUCGCAGUUCUUAUGUUGGAAUCUCUCCUUGGAAUAGGUAUAUUCUUGAUACCAUCGUAGGCGGGAAUUUUUUGGGGAUCCAUACCGUUGACUCCUAUGGAGCUAUCAUGAAUUUGGUAGGCUCACCCCCGCUCAUGGUUAAUGGAACUACCUUGACCUUGGAACACGUGAUGCAAAGGCUUGACGCUAUUGAAAACAAAAUUGCCACAAUUGAAUUUAUUGAGGGUUUGGAUGGAAAGAUCCACAAUCAAAUUACUCAGUACGGAUCCAAAGUGGGAAUGGUUUUGAAAAAUUUAAGGGAGAAGGAACCUAUAGUUAAUGAUUCCUCUAGAAUUGGCAAACUAGAAGAUGUCAUAACCAACUUGGGUUGUGCUUUUGCCGCUGUGCAAAAUACUCCAAAUCUCACUCUCAAAAAGACCGUCAAGUCUGUUUUUGUUCCUAAAGCUAGUGGUGAGUCAUCCAAUAAAUAUGAAGACCUUAAGAUGAUAAAUGAUCACGCUACUUAUGGUUUGAGCACCAAAGAUGACUAUACGUGAUUCCAUCACCUUUUGCCUAGCUAAGGGCGUUAAACAAUAGCGCAUGUUGGGAGGCAACCCAACGAAUCUAUCAUUUUUCUUUCUAUUUUGUGUUUUCCACACUUUCAUAAUUCUGUUAUGAUUGUGUUUUUUGUGUUUCUUUUUGCGUUUGUGCCAAGUGAAACCGUUAUGAUUAAUCUUGGGGAUGAUCGUUUGGUCAUGCUGGAAAAGACAGAAACUUUCUGUUAACGAAAAGAAUUUUCAUUUUUUUUAUGUAAGAGAUUUUGAGUUGAUUCUUUUUUGCUUCUGAUUGCUACGCACAUUCUUCAGACUGUUGUAAUUUUUCAGAAUUUUGGAAGUACCAGAAGUAUACGAAGUAUACAGAUUGCUACAGACUGGUCUGCUGUUAACAGAUUCUGUUUUUGUUGAGUUGGUUGCUUAUUUUGAUGAAACUAUGGAUAGUACCGGGGGGUAUUAGCCAUGGAAGAUUGAAAAUACAGUAACCCAACAUCAACAUAAGUAGAAUUUAUUAAGUUUUCUACAGUACCUAAGGAAGUGGUGGUUUGCUUUCUUAUACUAAUGAUAUCACGAGUUUCUGUUUAAAUUUCGUGUUGUGAAGUUUUCAAGUUUUGGGUGAAGUUCUUAUGGACAAAGAGAUAAAGAGUGGCAAGAUCUCAAGCUUGGGGAUGCCCAAGGCACCCCAAGUUGAUUCAAGGAUGCCGUAAAAGCCUAAGCUUGGGGAUGCCCCGGGAAGGCAUCCCCUNNNNNNNNNNNNNNNNNNNNNNNNNNNNNNNNNNNNNNNNNNNNNNNNNNNNNNNNNNNNNNNNNNNNNNNNNNNNNNNNNNNNNNNNNNNNNNNNNNNNUUGAGGGCCAAGGCAGGAGAGCCACAGGGGGCCCACAAGCCCUGUAGCCGCCACCAGGGGGGCCGGCGGCUACCAGGCUUGUGCCCGCCUGGAGCUCCCCUGCCCUAGCUCUUUCGCCUAUAAAUUCCCUAAAAUCCCAGAAAAUAUUAGGGCAUCCACGAAAACACUUUUCCGCCGCCGCAAGCUUCCGUUUCCGCGAGAUCUCAUCUGGAGACCCUUCUCGGUGCCCUGCCGGAGGGGACUUUGGAGUUGGAGGGCUUCUACAUCAACAUCAUCGCCUCUCCAAUGACUCGUGAGUAGUCCACUUCAGACCUACGGGUUCGUAGUUAGUAGCUAGAUGGCUUCUUCUCUCUCUUGGAUCUUCAAUACAAAGUUCCCCAUGAUCUUCAUGGAGAUCUAUCCGAUGUAAUCCUCUUUGGCGGUGUGUUUGUCGAGAUCCGAUGAAUUGUGGAUUUGUGAUCAGAUUAUCUAUGAAUUAUAUUUGAGUCUUUGCUGAUUUCUUAUAUGCAAGAUUUGAUAUCCUUGUAAGUCUCUCCGAGUCUUGGGUUUUGUUUGGCCAACUAGAUCUAUGAUUCUUGCAAUGGGAGAAGUGCUUGGUUUUCGGUUCAUACCGUGUGGUGACCUUUCCCAGUGACACAAGGGGCAGCAAGGCACGCAUCAUGUUGUUGCCAUCAAGGGUAACAAGAUGGGCUUUUAUCAUAGAUAUGAGAUUGUCCAUCUACAUCAUGUCAUCUUGCUUAAGGCGUUACUCUGUGAUACGUCUCCAUCGUAUCAACUUUUCCAAACUCUUUUGCCCUUGUUUUGGACUCUAAUUUGCAUGAUUUGAAUGGAACUAACCCGCACUGACGCUGUUUUCAGCAGAAUUGCCAUGAUGUUGUUUUUGUGCAGAAAUGGAAGUUCUCAGAACGUCCUGAAAAAUUACGUNAUACGUCUCCAUCGUAUCAACUUUUCCAAACUCUUUUGCCCUUGUUUUGGACUCUAAUUUGCAUGAUUUGAAUGGAACUAACCCGCACUGACGCUGUUUUCAGCAGAAUUGCCAUGAUGUUGUUUUUGUGCAGAAAUGGAAGUUCUCAGAACGUCCUGAAAAAUUACGUAGAAUUUUUCUGGAAAAUAUGAAAAAUACGUGCGCAAAGAUCCAUCGGAGGGGAUGGGCCAGUGGGCCACAAGCCCUGUUGCCGCGGCCUCCCCCAUGGCCGCGGCGACCAAGCUUGUGGGGCCCACGUGGGUCUGCCGCCCCCAACUCCAGCUCUAUAAAUUCACUUUCUUUCCGAAAAAAGUCAGAAGAGAAGAUUUCAUCGCGUUUGCGAUACAGAGGCGCCGCCACAUCUUGUUCUUCAUCUGGAGGGCAGAUCUGGAGUCCGUUUUGGGCUCCGGAGAGGGGAAAUCGUCGCCAUCGUCAUCAUCAACCUUCUUCCCUCUCCAAUUCCAUGAAGCUCUUCAUCGUUCGUGAGUAAUCUAUUCGUAGGCUCGCUAGGCGGUGAUGAGUAGGAUGAGAUCUAUCUUGUAAUCGAGUUAGUUUUGACGGGGAUUGAUCCCUAGUAUCCACUAUGUUCUGAGAUUGAUGUUGCUACUACUUUGCCAUGCUUAAUACUUGUCACUAGGGUCCGAGUGCCUGAUUUCAGAUCUCAAAUUAUUAUGUUGUCACCAAUAUAUGUGUGUUUUAGAUCCGAUCUUGCAGGUUGUAGUUACCUACUAUGUGUUAUGACCCGACAACCCCGGAGUGACAAUAACCGGAACCACUCCCGGUGAUGACCGUAAUUUGAGGAGUUCAUGUGUUCACCAAGUGCUAAUGCGUUGUUCCGGUACUUUAUUAAAAGGAGAACCUUAAUAUCCCGUAGUAUCCUUUUGGACCCCGCUGCCACGGGAGGGAUGGACAAUAGAUGUCAUGCAAGUUCUUUUCCCUAAGCACGUAUGACUACACACGGAAUGCAUGCCUACAUCACAUUGACGAACGGGAGCUAGCCACAUAUCUCUCCGUGUUAUAACUGUUGCAUGAUGAAUGUCAUCCAAACGAAUCACCGACCCAUUGCCUACGGGUUUGUCCCACUGCUGCUGUUACUUGUUUUGCUCUGCUGCUAUUACUACUGUUGCUGCUACUGUUACUUGCUUUGCUCUGCUGCUGUCACCACUGUUGCUACUGUUGCUACUUGCUACUGCUAUUACUUGCUACUGUUGCUACUUGCUACUGCUAUCACUACUGCUGUUCCUUGCCACCGCUGAUACUCGUUACACUGCUACUACUUGCUAGAAUACCUUUUUUCUUGCGCCGUUGACGGGAAAGAAUAUUUUCCGUCCACGGUCAACUUCUGGCGCCAUUGAUAUGACCGUUAGGAAUAGUCUGCCAUCAACAAAUCGUUUCUGACACUGUUGUUAUCAUACUACUUUGUUGCUGAUACUUUGCUUGCAGAUACUAAUCUUUCAGGUGCGGUUGAAUCUGACACAUUCAGCUGCUAAUACUUGAGAGUAUCCUUUCACUUCCUGACGGGCGAACCAACAAAUUUGGGUUGAAUACUCUACCCUCGAAAACUGUCGUGAACCCAUGCGCUGGUGGGCCAUUGCAAGACAAUUGCUAAUUGUUGAGCAACUCGGAGCAAUUCUGGCUCUGUUGUCGCGAAGGCAUCAAUUCAGGGACACGUCAACAACAUUCUUCUAGUGUCGUUGCCGGGGACUGCCGUCAGCAGCAUUUUUUUGGCACCGUUGCCGGGGUAGGGAUUGCUAUAUUCUCUGAGUCACUUGGGAUUUAUAUCUGCUGAUCACUAUGAAGAAUCUGAAAGACCCAGAAACCAAAGUCUUGCCCUCAACUACGAGGGGAGGUAAGGAACUGCCAUCUAGCUCUGCACUUGAUUCACCUUCAGUUAUGAGUAAGUUUGCGACAUCACCUCCUUCUAGAAAUCUUGAUAUGUCGCCUGUGCUUGAUGAUGCUUAUGAUGCUACUGCUAGAGAUGCUAUGCCUGAUACUGCUAGAGAUGCUAUGCCUGAUACUGCUUUGCCUGAUGAUGCUAGAGAUGCUAUUUUGCCUGAUGAUGCUAUGCUUGAUACUGCUAGAGAUACUACUUUGCCUGAUGUGCCACUAGGGGUAUUCCUUGAUGCUCAUAUUGCUAGAGUUACUGCCAAUGCUCGUGAUGCUUCUGAAACUGCCGAUACUAUUGAGAUAGAACCUGCUUUUGCUCCUGCUAGAUCUAGCUCUCCUAGAUAUGAAUUGCCUGAUAUACUUGAGGGUUACGUUAUGGAGGGAGAGAUAGCUGAGGAUUUUCUUGCGUGUAAGGAUACCUAUGACACUGAGAAAUUACUUCUCAAGUGGAAGGAAAAAUCUCUGAAAGCUAGGAUGAAAUACGACCCGAAGUUUGCCACUUCACCUAUCUUUAUCACCGAUAAGGAUUAUGAAUUCGCCCUAUAGNNNNNNNNNNNNNNNNNNNNNNNNNNNNNNNNNNNNNNNNNNNNNNNNNNNNNNNNNNNNNNNNNNNNNNNNNNNNNNNNNNNNNNNNNNNNNNNNNNNNAGAGAAACUUACCUGCGCUCACCUGAAGCGGCCCAGCCCAUCAGGGGCACCACUGUCUUCUUCCUCCUCCCAGGAGGAGAAGCAGUUGCGUGCCCGACGCAUCGCCGGGCACCGCCACGUCCCCUAGCCACCUCCUGCUCGCCCCCGUCCUUAUCUCCUCGCCCGUGGAUGCCCCAGACCCCCCCUUGAGCUCAUCCUCCUCUCCUCUCUCUAGGUUCCCCUUCUCUCUCUCUGCUUUCCCUCGUUGCCUCCAUUGCCGAGCUAGAGCUCGAGCUCGCCUCUCUGGUCUCCGGCCUUCCCUCGCCUCUCCGAGAAGCCCAGAAGGACCGCCCCGAUGCCCUGCUCCUCCUCGCCAUUGGAAUCGAGCCCGGACGACCCCUGUCGUCGCCAUCGCCGUUGUCUUCCUCACCUCCGGCCACCGGCCCCCUUCCAUCGAUUCACCCCCUCCGACGCGACCCCGACCUCCCCGUCACCGCAAAUGGAACCGUCGUGAGCUCACCGUCAUUUCCCCUCUCUUUCCACGUUCUCCCGUGCCGUGUAGCCCCGCUCCCCGCCACGGCCGAACCCCGCCGCCGCUUAGGCUCGUCGCCGGCACCUCUCCGGCGACCUAGCCCCCCCUUCGAGCCCCCUGUGCGAUGUGGUCGAGCCUGGGCUACGCCCAAGUGCUCUCAGCGCUUGUUUCCGGCCCCUGUAGUGCCAUCUAGGCAACUCCGGCGAGCCCUCCGCCGCGGGCUUGGUCGCCAACGACCACCCUCCGGUGAGGGCCAACGUGGCCAGUCGUUAGCCAGUACUAACCCCCCCCCCCAGAGCCACUGCCAGAGGGCCCCACGCCUGGUCAAACCCCAAUUAGGGGCUGGUCAGCGCGGGGUUAGCCUCUGGGUCACUGACCAGUGGGCCCCACUGGUCAGGGUUUGACCUGGCCGGCCAGUUGAACUGCUGACGUCAGUACUGAUGCAAUAUUAGUAUUUCUGUUUAUAAAAUAAAUCCAGGAAAUUGCUAAAACUUGUAAAAAUCAUAGAAAUUAAAAUAUAACUCGGAUGAAAAUAAUUUAUAUAUGAAAAAGUAUCAGAAAAAUCCAAGGAAUCUGAUUAUGGCAUUUUCNNNNNNNNNNNNNNNNNNNNNNNNNNNNNNNNNNNNNNNNNNNNNNNNNNNNNNNNNNNNNNNNNNNNNNNNNNNNNNNNNNNNNNNNNNNNNNNNNNNNACUCACUAUAGGGCGGGCAACAUAUUUUAAAAACACCGACAACCGACCGACGGUAGACCGAAUACGGUGCCGCUACGGUCGACCGUUCGGGUACUAGACGGACUCCGAUUGCGAUGAAACUUGACACGCGGCCUACCUAUAUUAAAAUACGACCGCACGUCAAAUAUCAACCCAAUCAGAGAAGGUUUUAUGCACACUUUUAAAACAAGGUUUUGACGAUGCCGCGGGCGCGUGCGUGUGCGGUCGGGCUCAGAACGGACAACGACGAGAACCGGCAACAAACAACGGAUGCAAGUUUUGGAAACUGGCGGCAACGGAGAUGCCGAUGCAAUGCAGAUGAUGCGCAUGAUGCGAUGAUGAUGCAGCAAAAGAAAAUAGACACACGACGAAAACGGAAUAGAAGGGGAAUCUUCUGGAACGUCGGCCUCGGGCUGUCACAACUCUCCUACACUAUAAGAGGAUCUCGCCCCGAGAUCCAAGAAUGAAAGGAAGAGGGGAUAAGAAAGCAAGAGGUAAAACUUAAUCGCUUCUUUGACAAAUGAGUGAAACCAACAUCCUUGAAGGUUGCAAAGAGAUGAGGAAUGAUAAGAGAAACAAGCAAGAAUUCACGGAAAAUUUCGGCAGCACUUCGGUAGGAAAAUGGGACAAAAAAUUCGAUAAGAUAGGAGAAAUAGACAAUAUUCAUUACAAACAACUAAAUAGAACAAGGGAACACUAUGAUCUUGGUAGACCAACAUAAUAGACCCAAAAGAGCAACAUCACAAUGCCUCCGGAACAAUAGAAUAGGAACUAGCUCAUACGGAAGAAGAGAAUGAAGAGAGAAUGACAACUACUCACUCCAAUGAACUUGGCAAGCAUCCUUGCAAGAAGAAUUGGACGGAGUUGUUGGAAAACAACAGCGAAAGAACAAGAAAGUAGUGGGCUUAUGGAAACCUUUUCAAACUAAUGAAGUGACAACCAGCCACUAACAGAACAAGGAUUGAUUGGGAGAAACAAGAUAUGAACAAUUCCUUACACCAAGAGGAUACAUUGAGAACUUGGAUUAAUGACAAGCACCAUGAUAGCAACAAUCCAUAGGAAAAUCUUUAGGUGAAAUCCAAACCAAGAUAGCUCAAUGAAGAAAUCAUGGGUUGAAAACAUCUCAUGAUCAUAGAAUUGGUGGGUUUAAUUAUCUCAUUCUUGAAAGGAAAUCUCUUCGAAACUCCUACACUAACAAGAAUGCUAUAAUACCACCUCAAAGGAUAAAGGAGAACAAUUGCACAUAGAAAUGCAAGAGAAGAAAACUUGAGGUUCUCCAAUAAGAAUCUUGAAGAACACUUUGAGAAUGAAUUGACAUCAUGAGCCGCUCCGGAAGAAGAAUUCAGAUUACUAUGAACAAGAAUAAGAAUUAUGUUAUGCUUAUCCUUCAUCAAAUUAAGUUGAUGAGAAGCAACGGAUUUAGCAUACCACUUAUUCUUCUUGAAAGAACCUUGAAGAGAUAGAGAGAUAAGCACCACUUGAAGCACAAUUGAAUGAAGCACCGGCAAGAAUUCGAGCUCNNNNNNNNNNNNNNNNNNNNNNNNNNNNNNNNNNNNNNNNNNNNNNNNNNNNNNNNNNNNNNNNNNNNNNNNNNNNNNNNNNNNNNNNNNNNNNNNNNNNGAGAUUUGAAAACAAGCGGGGCAACUGGACUACGGGGUCAGAGGGGAUGACUGCUCCACCUAUACUAAGCAGAUUUAAAGUACAGGACUGAAAGUAGCAGUUCAUCAAAAAUAGGUUAUGCAUCAGAUAUAGGAGCUAACUACAACAGUAGCAAAAUACUAAUGCAAGCAGUAGGAAGAAAGACAUAGGCAAUAUAGGAAUGAUCAAGGGGGGGUUUGCUUGCCUUGCUGCUCUGCGGCAAAGGACUGAUCGGCAGGGUCAUAGAUGUACCCGGCAGCAGAGUCAGUCUCGGGGCCUACCGGUAAGAAGAGGGGGAAGAAACAAUAAAUAAUAGCAACGGUGUGUUGGAAUUAUGCCCUAGAGGCAAUAAUAAAUAUAGUUAUUAUUAUAAUUCAUGUAUCAAGAUAACCGUUUAUUAUCCAUGCUAUAAUUGUAUUGAAUGAAGACUUAUAUACAUGUGUGGAUACAUAGACAAAACACUGCCCCUAGCAAGCCUCUAGUUGGCUAGCCAGUUGAUCAAAGAUAGUCACUGUCUUCUGAUUAUGAACAAGGUGUUGUUGCUUGAUAACUGGAUCACGUCAUUAGGAGAAUCACGUGAUGGACUAGACCCAAACUAAUAGACGUAGCAUGUUGAUCGUGUCAUUUUGUUGCUACUGUUUUCUGCGUGUCAAGUAUUUGUUCCUAUGACCAUGAGAUCAUAUAACUCACUGACACCGGAGGAAUACUUUGUGAGUAUCAAACGUCGCAACGUAACUGGGUGACUAUAAAGAUGCUCUACAGGUAUCUCCGAAGGUGUUCGUUGAGUUAGUAUGGAUCGAGACUAGGAUUUGUCACUCCGUGUGACGGAGAGGUAUCUUGGGGCCCACUCGGUAAUACAACAUCACACACAAGCCUUGCAAGCAAUGUGACUUAAUGUAAGUUGCGGGAUCUUGUAUUACGGAACGAGUAAAGAGACUUGCCGAUAAACGAGAUUGAAAUAGGUAUACGGAUACUGACGAUCGAAUCUCGGGCAAGUAACAUACCGAAGGACAAAGGGAAUGACAUACGGGAUUAUAUGAAUCCUUGGCACUGAGGUUCAAACGAUAAGAUCUUCGUAGAAUAUGUAGGAUCCAAUAUGGGCAUCUAGGUCCCGCUAUUGGAUAUUGACCGAGGAGUCUCUCGGGUCAUGUCUACAUAGUUCUCGAACUCGCAGGGUCUGCACACUUAAGGUUCGACGUUGUUUUAUGCGUAUUUGAGUUAUAUGGUUGGUUACCGAAUGUUGUUCGGAGUCCCGAAUGAGAUCACGGACGUCACGAGGGUUUCCGGAAUGGUCCAGAAACGAAGAUUGAUAUAUAGGAUGACCUCAUUUGAUUACCGGAAGGUUUUCGGAGUUACCGGGAAUGUACCGGGAAUGACGAAUGGGUUCUGGGAGUUCACCGGGUGGCAACCCACCCCGGGGAAGCCCAUAGGCCUUGGGGGUGGCACACCAGCCCUUAGUGGGCUGGUGGGACAGCCCAAGAAGGCCCUAUACGCCAUGGGAAGAAAAUCAAAGAGAAAAGAAAAAAAAGGAGGAGGUNNNNNNNNNNNNNNNNNNNNNNNNNNNNNNNNNNNNNNNNNNNNNNNNNNNNNNNNNNNNNNNNNNNNNNNNNNNNNNNNNNNNNNNNNNNNNNNNNNNNUCAACAGCGGCUAAGCAUAUAUUUGGUGGCUAACUUACGAGUACAAGAAAUAAUAGGGAAGAUCUACGCAUAACGGACGUGAGCUACUGAUGAUCAAAAGAAUGAUCCUGAACACCUACCUACGUCAGACAUAACCCCACCGUGUCCUCGAUCGGAGCAGGGCUCACGAAAGAGACAGUCACGGUUACGCACACAGUUGGCAAGUUUUAAUUAAGUUAACUUCAAGUUAUCUAGAACCGGUGUUAAACAAAGCUUCCACGUUGCCACAUAACCGCGGGCACGGCUUUCCGAAAGAUUUAACCCUGCAGAGGUGCUCCAACUAGUCCAUCACAAAUUACCACAAGCCGCAUAGAAAUCCUCAAUCACGAAGCUCGCGAUCUCGUCGGAUUCCCUAGUGGAAAACCUCAACUGUGAGAUUACCCAAAGCAUCACCGGAAUCCCGAUGCACAAGAUAUCUCGUCAAAGGUAAAACUAAUCCAGCAAGGCCGCCCGACGUGUCGACGAUCCCGAUAUGAGUCGCGUACCUCGUUCUCAGGACACGACGGAUGAGCGAUGGUUACCACGCCAAACGCCGAGUUGCCCCGGGUAGCAUUAAUAAGCUGCUCUGUUUUGGACCAACACUCAUGAGGAGCACUGGCCCGGGGGUUUAUUAAAAUAGUCCGCGGGUGCCGGCGGGUCCCUAUGCAUUAUUAUUAGGUUAUUAGGCAAAUGUAGUACCAAAGUUGGGCCUUGCCAGACCAGCUUUAAUCUAAAACGAAUUAUCAAGGGGGUCCCCAUAACAACCCCGAUCGUGUUAGGAGCGCUCAAUUAUGGAACAUAACACCGGUAGCCGGAAACUAAGGGGGCAAAGGUGGAACAAAACACCAGGCUAGAAAGGCCGAGCCUUCCACCUUUUACCAAGUAUAUAGGUGCAUUAAAUUAAAUAGCAUUUAAAUAUGGUGAUAUAACAAGGAACCCAUGUAAUCACAUGGAAUCAACUGCACCUGCAACUAGCAACGCUAUCAACAGGGUUAAGCUAGCAGUAACAUAGCCAAUAAGUGGUUUGCUAGGUCGAACAGGUUGAAGGUUUCAUGGCAUUGUUGAGAGGCUAAUAUUUAACAUGUGGUAGGCAACGAGACAUAAACGGUAGCAACGGUAAAACUAGCAUGGCAAUGAUAGUAAUGGUAUCUGGGGAAAUGGUCAUCUUGCCUGAGAUCCCGCUUGGAAGAAGAACAUCUCUGUGAAGCAGGCGAACCAACGUAGUCGAACGGGUCCUCACAUUCCGACACGCUUGCGGAACUCUAUCGAGACGGAGCAAACCGGAAACAAAUAUCAACACAGAUAUUCACCACACGAUGCACAACAUGAUGCAUACCCUAAUAUGAUGCAUGAUCAAUUCAAUAUGCAAGGGAUGGCAUGGCAAAUCACCUCACGCAAACACUACACAUCAAUUGAAGCUCGAUAUGCAACGGGUUACAUACCGACGAAACUCCACGAUUAAUUAUUUAGUUCACUCCCGUUUAUUUACACGGCAACAUUAAAUGUUGUUAACAUGGCAAGGGGUGAAGCGAUGAUCCUACGUGUCAUCCUAGUCGGUUUAACUCGCGGAACAAGAGCGGAACUACGGCACGGGAGACAUGCAACACAAGAUCAUAUGCCAUGAAUGCGUCAUGCACGCAAGUUCAAACAUCACGGGCAAGAAGAGAAGGAAACAUGUGUCGCCACGGCAAGCGAGAGGGAACCAUGGCGGCAAGACGGAAACGAAGCCACGACAACGUUCCCAUCCCGAUACUCGUCGAGAUAUCGUGCCAACGAUCUGGAAGCGUGUGCGGGAUCACUAAAUAAGAAUGGGGUGAUCCCGUAUAUCGGGUUCCCAUGUGUCGAGGCACGACGAAAGAAGACAACGGGCAACGGGCCACAUACGGUGCAAACAUACAUUCAACUCAUACAACACAUGCAUACGGUUCUCGACGCGUACCAACGGUAUACNNNNNNNNNNNNNNNNNNNNNNNNNNNNNNNNNNNNNNNNNNNNNNNNNNNNNNNNNNNNNNNNNNNNNNNNNNNNNNNNNNNNNNNNNNNNNNNNNNNNNGUCGUGUGAUUAGAUUUAUUCGUUGCAUCGUCAUGUAGUUUGCAUCAUCGCAUCAUGCAUGGCAUCAUGUCAACUGUGUUUAGUCGGUGUCGCCUGCUGCUCCGUGUUGUUGGGUGAUAGUGCUUCAUGAGUGGCGUUGUUUUGUUGGAGUGAUGAAAGAGGGUGCGUGAGAGCCACCGCUAAGCCCUGUUGCACCGCGGACCUAAAACCUUCUCUCCCCUCUCAUUUCCUUUUUGUGGUUUGGCUAAAUACUUUAGUUUAGUUCCCUAUUUUAAAAAUUAAAGAUUCGUCUUCUUUUAAAGAAAAAACAUUUUAUUAAAUGUGGAGGCAACCCCUUGAGUUUUCUUCAUUUUCUCCUUUUGUUUUAUCUUUAAACAAUCUCAUUUUCUUAUCUCUUUUAAAGAACUUUUAUUUUACACUUUAAAUAAAAUAGGUUUAUUUUAUUCUUUUAAAAAAGGGUUUUGAUUUUUAAUUCUUUAAAAGGUUUCAUUUUACUCUUCGAAAAGGUUUCAUUUUUAUUUGUUUAAAGAGCCCGAUCUAUUUUUAUAGUUGGAGCAUGUUUUAAGGAGCCCAAAAGUAUUUUUGUUUUAGUAAAUUCCUUUUCUUCUGGUUGUGGGUUCCUCUUUUUUUUUUAAAAACCAGCUAUUUUAUUUUUUUGUGCAAGACAUUUUUUUAUUUUAGAAGGAGAGGACCCAGACCAAGGCCCAGCCGGCCAAGGCCCAGGCCCCCUCCAACCCUAGCGUCGUGCUGCGCCUCUCCCUCGUCACCCACAGCGCCGUCUCCUCCCGAUUCUCGUCUCCUCGUUCCCUGCUCCGCCCUGCCGCCUCCAGGUCCCCUUGCCUCGCCGUGGCCACCUCCCUCGCCCUCUCUUCUCCCCUCUACGCGCCGCCAGCCCCAGGCCCGAGCCGCACCGCCCUGCCAGCGCCGAGCCCCCUGCUCGCCGGCCUCCCCUGGUCCUCCUCGCCAUGCGGUCUCCCGCGCGCAGCCGUCCAUCUGCACGUCGAGCCGCCUCUCUGCUCCCCGUCCCCUGCGCCCGCAUCGCCGCCGGUGCCCGACCUGCGCGCCGCCCUCGCCCCCGAGUUCCCCGCGUGCUCGCCCUCGGCCUCGAGCUCGCCGCCCCGGUCGCAGCCUCCCUGCCAUGGCGACCUCGCCGUUCCCCGCGUCGCCCCUCNNNNNNNNNNNNNNNNNNNNNNNNNNNNNNNNNNNNNNNNNNNNNNNNNNNNNNNNNNNNNNNNNNNNNNNNNNNNNNNNNNNNNNNNNNNNNNNNNNNNGACUCACGGGAAGAUAUCACAACACAACUCUAGACACAAAUAAAAUAACAUCAGCUUCAUAUUACAAGCCAGGGGCCUCGAGGGCUAGAAUACGAAAGCUCGAUAAACACACGAGUCAGCGGAAGCAACAAAAUCUGAGUACAGACAUAAAACAUGGGGUGCCUUAGAGAAGGCUAGCACAAAAGAUACAACGAUCGAAUGAGGCGAGGCCUCCUACCUGGGAACCUCCUAACUACUCCUGAUCAUCAGCGGCCUCCACGUAGUAGUAGGCACCGUCGGGGUAGGAGUCGUCGUCGGCGGGAACCUCCAUCUCCUGGGCUCCAUCAUCUGGUCGCAGCAACGGAUCGAGGGGACAAGAGGGGGAGCAAAGCAGAAGUGAGUACUCAUCCAAAGUACUCGCAAGUCUUACAUCAGAACUAUUAUAAUUAUGCAUCAGUAUCAAAGAAGGGGGGGCUAUAUGUGGACUGACUGCAGCAAUGCGAGAAUAAAGAGAGAAGGCCUAGUCCUAUCGAAGACUAGCAUCUUCAGGGUCUUGCAGCAAUAGACGAGAGUAGAACAGGGGUAACACAUUAAAAGUCAUAUUGUUGCAGCAAUAUUAAAGUGAGGUCAUGCCUAAAGAUCCUCCCUCGACUCCCUGCGAGGAAGCAAUCCCGAGGCAAACUAAUUCCAGUUAAGUAACAAUUGUAGUUGUAUAAGAUCGGGGCACAACUCCAAGUCGUCCUNNNNNNNNNNNNNNNNNNNNNNNNNNNNNNNNNNNNNNNNNNNNNNNNNNNNNNNNNNNNNNNNNNNNNNNNNNNNNNNNNNNNNNNNNNNNNNNNNNNNAGUUGCUACUCAUGCUAAGUGGUUUCAACUAUUUACUGUGACAAAAUCAGGUCAUGCAAAGGAAUGGGUUCAACUACCGAUAACAUGUACAGUUGAAUCGUGUUUGUCCUAACGCAGUAAAAGAGAGCAGGAGCGAGAGAGUGGGUUUAUUUCAAUAUGCUCAAGGGGGUUUGCUUGCCUGACACGUCUGAAGAUAGCAAUGAGUCUUCAUCAAUGUCAACGAUCACAUCGUCGGAAACAUCGUUUACCGAGAGGGAACAACACCGGCAAACAAGAAGGAACAACAAUUACUUCACAGAAAUGCAACACUAUGAUGCAUGCUCAAGACAUGAAAUGAAAGGUGGCAGGCCUAAUGUGGCUAUCAUUACUUAAAUUGAAGUUGGUUUGAAUUAGGAUCCAAACAUCACUUCAAGCCGGUUAUUUUUCCGGAUACCCUUUUAAUUGAUUCAACCUGAAGCUCAAAACAAAUUGUUCCAACAUGUAUGGAGUUAGUAUCUUGAGGUACUGAUUUGCAUUGACCCUUGUUUGGUCAUAACAAUUGAAGUGAAAAUCAAAUAAGUAUCAAUUUCCAACUCCAAACUAUUUAUUAAAUUUACCCUAUUCAUCAUUUUGCCUAUUUAGUGUUGUUAACUUUUUCAAACAUGCAUGAAAAUGCCAUAAUCAGAUUCCUUGGAUUUUUCUGAUACUUUUUCAUAUAUAAAUUAUUUUCAUCCGAGUUAUAUUUUAAUUUCUAUGAUUUUUACAAGUUUUAGCAAUUUCCUGGAUUUAUUUUAUAAACAGAAAUACUAAUAUUGCAUCAGUACUGACGUCAGCAGGUCAACUGGCCGGCCAGGUCAAACCCUGACCAGUGGGGCCCACUGGUCAGUGACCCAGAGGCUAACCCCGCGCUGACCAGCCCCUAAUUGGGGUUUGACCAGGCGUGGGGCCCUCUGGCAGUGGCUCUGGGGGGGGGGGUUAGUACUGGCUAACGACUGGCCACGUUGGCCCUCACCGGAGGGUGGUCGUUGGCGACCAAGCCCGCGGCGGAGGGCUCGCCGGAGUUGCCUAGAUGGCACUACAGGGGCCGGAAACAAGCGCUGAGAGCACUUGGGCGUAGCCCAGGCUCGACCACAUCGCACAGGGGGCUCGAAGGGGGGGCUAGGUCGCCGGAGAGGCGCCGGCGACGAGCCUAAGCGGCGACGGGGUUCGGCCGUGGCGGGGAGCGGGGCUACGGGGCAUGGGAGAACGUGGAAAUAGAGGGGAAAUGACGGCGAGCUCACGACGGUUCCAUUUGCGGUGACGGGGAGGUCGGGAUCGCGUCGGAGGGGUUGAAUCGAUGGAAGGGGGCCGGUGGCCGGAGGUGAGGAAGACAAUGGCGAUGGCGACGACAGGGGUCAUCCGGGCUCGAUUCCAAUGGCGAGGAGGAGCAGGGCAUCGGGGCGGUCCUUCUGGGCUUCUCGGAGAGGCGAGGGAAGGCCGGAGACCAGAGAGGCGAGCUCGAGCUCUAGCUCGGCAAUGGAGGCAACGAGGGAAAGCAGAGAGAGAGAAGGGGAACCUAGAGAGAGGAGAGGAGGAUGAGCUCAAGGGGGGGUCUGGGGCAUCCACGGGCGAGGAGAUAAGGACGGGGGCGAGCAGGAGGUGGCUAGGGGACGUGGCGGUGCCCGGCGAUGCGUCGGGCACGCAACUGCUUCUCCUCCUGGCAGGAGGAAGAAUACAGUGGUGCCCCUGAUGGGCUGGGCCGCUUCAGGUGAGCGCAGGUAAGUUUCUCUCUCUCUCUUUUCCUAUUUUUCUUUUAUUUUCUUUCUGGCAUUUAGAUUUAGGAUUUUAAUAAAACAUUUAAUCAUUUUAUAAAACCCUAAAAUAGUAUUAUGUGACAGUAGUAAAAAUAAUCAAUGCCACAAANNNNNNNNNNNNNNNNNNNNNNNNNNNNNNNNNNNNNNNNNNNNNNNNNNNNNNNNNNNNNNNNNNNNNNNNNNNNNNNNNNNNNNNNNNNNNNNNNNNNAUUGAAUUCUUGGUUCUUGGUUAACUUUUCUGUGUGUGGGUUCUUAAGCUUAUGGUCUGUUGGGGAACAUUGCUGAGAAACAAAAAAUUUCCUACGCACACGCAAUACCUAUCCAUGGUGAUGAUCAUCUACCAGAGGGGAGAGUGAAUCUACAUACCCUUGUAGAUCGCUAAGUGGAAGCAUAUAUAACGCGUUUGAUGUAGUGGAACAUCUCCGCGAUUCAAAUCACAGCGUGUCCCGUGAUCUCAUCACGAUCCAUCCCGAUCUAGUGCCGAACGAACGACACCUCCGCGUUCAGCACACAUACAACUCGAUGACAAUCCCCACCUUGUUGAUCCAGCAAGAGGGGUGGAGAGGUAGAUGAGUUAUCCAACACGGAGGAAUGGUGGUGGUGAUGGUGGAUCUAUUCCAGCAGGGCUUCGCCUAAGCGUUGCUGAAAAACCGAUCUAGAGGAAGAACAAAUCUAGAGAGAAGUAGAGGGAGCAUGUGGCAAUUAGGGUUAGCCCUCACCUUUAAAACCUCUAGUAUAUAUAGGAGGGAGGGAGGGGAUGAGGCAGCCUCAAACCCUCAAGGUUUGGCCGAAAUUGGAGGUGCAGAAGUCCUACUCCAAUCCCACCAAGGGUAGGAUUCCCCUUCUCCACUUGGAAACCCUUUCCACCUUUUCCACCUUUGGGUUUCUUUCCUUCCCACCUCCAAUCCGCCUUGGGCUUUAUGGAGGCUUCGUACAGCCCACUAAGGCCUGGUCCAGAUCCUCCCACAGCCCAUGAGACCCUUUGGGGUGGGUGGGCCCACCUGGUGGACCCCAGAAACCCAUUCGUCACUCCCGGUACACUACCGAAAAUGUCUGAAACUUUUCCGGAGUUCAAAAACCACUUUCCUAUAUAUCAAGAUUUACCUCCGGACCAUUUCGGAGCUCGUCGUGAUGUCCAGGAUCUCAUCUGGGACUCCGAAAAACCUUCGGUUACCAACACCUAUAACUCAACUAUACCGAAACGUCACCGAACCUUCAGUGUGCAGACCCUGCGGGUUCGAAAACUAUGCAUACAUGACCUAAGACACUCCCCAGUCAAUAACUGAUGACCCUCAAGUAUAGGGGACCUAUCGUAGUCCUUUCGACAAGUAAGAGUGUCGAACCCAACGAGGAGCAGAAGGAUCCGACAAGUGGUUUUCAACAAGGUAAUAUAUGCAAGCACUGAAAUUGUCGGUAACAAGUAGUUGUGUGGUGAGAUGAUUCGUAGCAAGCAACAAGUAACAAAAGUAGCAAUGGUGCAGCAAAGUGGCCCAAUCCCUUUUGUACAAGGGACAAGCCUGGACAAACUCUUAUAGGAGGAAAAACACUCCCGUGGACACACGGGAAUUUCUGUCAUGCUAGUUUUCAUCAUGUUCAUAUNNNNNNNNNNNNNNNNNNNNNNNNNNNNNNNNNNNNNNNNNNNNNNNNNNNNNNNNNNNNNNNNNNNNNNNNNNNNNNNNNNNNNNNNNNNNNNNNNNNNNNNNNNNNNNNNNNNNNNNNNNNNNNNNNNNNNNNNNNNNNNNNNNNNNNNNNNNNNNNNNNNNNNNNNNNNNNNNNNNNNNNNNNNNNNNNNNNNNNNNNNNNNNNNNNNNNNNNNNNNNNNNNNNNNNNNNNNNNNNNNNNNNNNNNNNNNNNNNNNNNNNNNNNNNNNNNNNNNNNNNNNNNNNNNNNNNNNNNNNNNNNNNNNNNNNNNNNNNNNNNNNNNNNNNNNNNNNNNNNNNNNNNNNNNNNNNNNNNNNNNNNNNNNNNNNNNNNNNNNNNNGAUCUGAACAUAAACUCUUCCACCAAGUAAUCCAACUAGCAUCAACUACAAAGAGUAAUUAACACUACUAGCAACCUUACAAGUACCAAUAGGAGUCGCGAGAUGGAGAUUGGUUACAAGAGAUGAACUAGGGUUUGGAGAUGAGAUGUUGCUGAUGAAGAUGUUGAUGGUGAUGAGUCCCCUCCGAUGAGAGGAGUGUUGGUGAUGACGAUGGCGACGAUUUCCUCCUCCGGGAGGGAAGUUUCCCCGACAGGAUCGUCCUGCCGGAGCUCUAGAUUGGUUCUGCUCAAGUUCCGCCUCGUGGUGGCGGCGAAUCCUCCGAAAAGCCUCUUCGUGAUUUUUUCCAGACCGAAACCCUUCUUGUAGCAAAAGAGGGGGGCAAGUGGGCUAGCAGGGAGCCCACAAGCCCCCUAGGCGCGGCCAGGGGGGUGGCCGCGCCUAGCAGGCUUGUGGCCACUUGCUGGCGCCCCUGUGGCACUUCUUCGGCCCAGUAUUUUUUAUAAAUCCCAAAAAAAACCAUGUUGAUUUUCGGCUUUUGGAGUUGCGCAGAAUAGGCAUAUCAAACUUGCUCAUUUUUAGGCCAGAAUUCCAGCUGCCGGCAUUCUCCCUCUUCAUGUAAACCUUGCAAAAUAAGAGAGAAAAGGAAUAAGUAUUGUACCGUGAAGUGAAAUAACAGCCCAAAAAGCGAUAAAUAUCAACAUGAAAGCGUGAUGCAAAAUGGACGUAUCAACUCCCCCAAGCUUAGACCUCGCUUGUCCUCAAGCAAAAGCCUAGAUCAAUAAACAUGCCCACAUGUUUAGGGAGAGAGGUGUCGACAAAACAAGAUACGAACAUGCGGGCAUCAUGAUCAUGAUCAGAACAGCAAUACCAUCAUAUCAUCUCUUAUGCUAAAGUGACAAUUCAUUCACAAAGUAAAGUAUGGAUCAAGAACCUUACUGAGAAUUAACAACCGAUGGCCUUUAGUCAUUGAAGCAAUUGCAAUUUAUCACAACAUCAGAAAGAGUCAAAUAAGAGCUUGUAAAGCAAUCCACAUACUCAAUCAUCCUUUCGUUCUCUACAAUUGCUACAACUCACGUGGUACUCAUGAGAUCAAAGUUUCAGUUGGACACACAGAAAGAUAGGGGCUUAUAGUUUUGCCUCCCAACUGCUUACCUCAAGGGUAAUGUCAACAAUAAUAAUUCAUGAAUACUUACUUCCAAGUUGACAUAUGAAUAUAGAUCUUUCCCUAGCAUAUGACGUUAGCCAAGAUAAAGGAGAAAUAAGGAAUUGGUGAAGAUCACCAUGACUCUUUCAAGGGCAAAAAGUAAAGGUACAAGAUAGGCCCUUCGCAGAGGGAAGCAGAGGUUGUCAUGCGCUUUUGAGGUUUGGAUGUGUGUCCUCUUAGUGCGGAGGAACGUCACUUUAUAUUGCCUCCUGUGAUAAAGAACUUUAUUAUGCAGUCUGUCGCUUUUAUGUCUUCCUCAUCACAGGUUCGUACAAAGCUUAUUUCCACACACUAAUAGAUCAUACAUAUUUGGGAGCAAUUUUUAUUUCUUGCACCGAUGACAACUUACUUGAAGGAUCUUAUUCAAUCCAUAGGAAGGUAUGGUGGACUCUCAUGGCAAAACUGGGUUGAAGGUUUAUGGAUGCACAAGUAGUAUCUCUACUUGGUGCGGGAGUUUUGGCUAAUAUGAGGUGGAAGCAAUCGUCACAUGCUAAGGGAUCUCUAAUCAUAUAACAUUGUUCAGAACCAAGCAAACACAAUUCAUUAUGUUGUCUUCCUUGGACAACAUCUACUUCUAAGCAUGCAAUAGUUUAGUGAGUGUCCACAAUCAUAGAUGGUGUCAAAGAUGAGAUAUUUAUAUGUGAACCUCUCCUUCUUUAUCACUUCCUUUUAAUUGCAACAAUGACCAAGGUCUACGUUUGUCUACCCUCAACAAGUUUCAAUCAUCAUUCUUUUUAUAUGUGGAGCCAUCACUUCCCAUAAGAUCAUUACAUGAUCUUUCAUGCUUUUGUUCUUUUCUCAUCCUUUUGAUCAUGACAAGAGACAAAGCCCUUAACCAAGACACUCUUUAUUAUAUGGCUCACGAGCUCGAAUACAUCAGGGGUGACACAAAGCAAAACUCAAGCCUAAAACACUAAGACUUUUAUUCUACUAGAGAAAGAGAAAACUUAAAAGGAACAAACUAAAACAAAGGUAAAGGCAAAAGAGGUGAUGGUGAUACGAUUCCGGGGCAACUCCCCCAAGCUUGGCACAAGCCAACGGGAUUGCCCAUACCCAUGCUCAGUUGUCUUUCUUUGGAGGUGAUGGUGGUGGAGUUGUUGCAAUCUUUGAUUCCAAGAGGGCCAUUAAUCUUUAAUUUAUACCUUGGAGAUCUGUGAUAUGUUCCUCCAGCAAAACAACUUCACGAGCGAGAUAAGUAUUGCGAGCAUGAGUUGUUUCACAAGACCUCAAGAGUUCAAUCAAGGAUGGAGACAGUAGGUGGAAGUAGGGUUGGAGGAAAUCCACUUCUUCAACUUCUUCCUUGUUGAGCACAGAUUGCACUUCAUCCCACGCCUGAUUCUUCUCCUUAGUUUUGCCCUUGGUUUCUUUAGCUAGCCUUUACUUAGCCUCCAUGACCUCCAUCCUUUUUAGAUCAACACUUACUUCUCCAUAAACUUGAGGGAGAUUGUUCUCCCCCACAGAUUCCUGAGACAACAUCUUGCUCUAAAUUUGCGACAGAAAACAGGCUCGAAAUGAAAACAGAGGAAAUCUGCAUGAUACAAGGGUCAGACCUUUCGGGAGAUUAUAUAAUGAUUCUUUUCAGACCAGAAAGAGUACUCCGCACGAAAAUGGAGUCCGGGAGGCACACAAGGUGGCCAGAAGCCCCCCCAGGCGCGGCCAGGGGGUGGGCCCGCGCCUGGCAGGCUUGUCGCCUCCUCGCACGCUUUCCGGACUACUUCCAAUUUUUCUAUUUUUUCAAAUAUUCCAAAACGGAGAAAAAAAUCCUACUGGAAAAGUUUUGGAGUCUGUUUUCUUACCGAAUCACAUACCUCUUCGUUUUUGGAGUCUCGAACAGGCUGAUAAAUAUCCCUUAGGUAUUCUUCCGGAGUUCUGGUAUUGAUAAUAUUGCUUUCAACAUUAAUGGGAGUACGUGAGAUAUAAUGCUUGAUUCUCUGUCCAUUUACCACUCUCGGACAAUCACCUUCCAUGUUGUUGAUCUUGAUAGCACCGGAACGAUAUACUUCCUCAACAAUAUAGGGAUCUUACCAUUUAGAGAGAAGCUUGCCUGCAAAAAAGUCUUAAACGAGAAUUAUAUAGCAAGACAUAAUCACCUACAUUGAACUCACACUUUUGUAUCCUCUUAUCAUGCCACCUCUUAACCUUUUCUUUGAACAACUUGGCAUUCUCAUAUGCCUGAGUUCUCCAUUCAUCAAGCGAGCUAAUGUCAAAUAACCUCUUCUCACCAGCAAGUUUGAAAUCAAAGUUGAGCUCUUUGAUUGCCCAAUAAGUUUUAUGCUCUAGCUCAAGAGGUAAAUGACAUGCUUUACCGUACACCAUUUUGUACGGAGACAUGCCCAUGGGAUUCUUAUAGGAAGUUCUAUAAGCCCGCAGUGCAUCAUCGAGCUUCUUAGACCAAUUCUUUCUAGACCUGUUGACAGUAUUUUGCAGAAUCAGUUUAAUCUCUCUAUUGCUUAGCUCUGCUUGACCACUGGACUGAGGGUGAUAGGGAGACGCAAUUCUAUGGUUGACAUCGUACUUAGCAAGCGUUUUACGGAAAGCACCAUGAAUGAAAUGUGAACCACCGUCGGUCAUUAGAUAUCUAGGGACUCCAAAUCAAGGGAAAAUAACUUCUUUAAGCAUCCUGAUAGAGGUGUUGUGAUCAACACUACUAGUGGGGAUAGCUUCUACCCACUUAGUGACGUAGUCAACAGCAACUAGGAUAUGAGUAUACCCGUUGGAUUUUGGAAAAGGUCCCAUAUAAUCAAAGCCCCAAACAUCAAAUGGUUCAAUGACAAGUGAAUAGUUCAUAGGCAUGUCCUGACGUUUACUGGUAUUACCUAUUCUUUGACAUUCGUCACAAGACAAGACAAAUUUACGAGCAUCCUUGAAGAGAGUGGGCCAAUAGAAACCUGAUUGCAAUACCUUGUGUGCAGUUCUAUCUCCCGCAUGGUGUCCUCCGUAGGCCUUGGAGUGACACUUCUGUAGGAUUUGUCCCUGUUUAUGUUCAGGUACACAACGUCUAAUAACACCAUCUACUCCUUCCUUAUAAAGGUGAGGAUCAUCCCAAAAGUAAUGUCUCAAGUCAAAGAAGAAUUUCUUCUUUUGCUGGUAUGUGAAACUAGGUGGUAUAUAUUUGGCAACGAUAUAGUUUGCAUAAUAAGCAUACCACGGUGCACUACGUGAAGCAUUGAUGACACUCAAUUGCUCACCGGGAAAGCUAUCAUCAAUAGGUUGUGGGUCAUCAAGAAUGGUCUCCAACCUAGACAAGUUAUCUGCUACUGGGUUAUCAGCACAAAACAAAACAAAAGAAAAAGAGGAAAUUAGAAAGAGGAAAUAAUAGANUUCAACAUGAAAGUUGAUCAGCACAACGAGACGAACCCGGAUACACGGUCCAUUCGUGUGUCACGCGUCCCUAGCAUAGCAAACAUGGAACAUUUCCAUCGUUUCUAGUAUGACCGGUAGUAGCCCGAGACCCGAAAAAUAUUGUCAGAUAUUCUUCCGACCCGUCUAUGACGGAUGUUGCUGCGUUAGCUCAUGUCUAGCCUACAUCUUGCCAUGUCAUGCUUUGUGUUGCACCAUUGCUAUUAUUUAUUGUUUCUUCCCCCUCUUCUUACCGGUAGACCCCGAGACUGACGCUGCUGCUGGGUACAUCUACGACCCUGCCGAUCAGUCCUUUGCCGCAGAGCAGCAAGGCAAGCAAACCCCCCUUGAUCAUUCCUAUAUUGCCUAUGUCUUUCUUCCUACUGCUUGCAUUAGUAUUUUGCUAUUGUUGUAGUUAGCUCCUAUAUCUGAUGCAUAGCCUAUUUUUGAUGAACUGCUACUUUCAGUCCUGUACUUUAAAUCUGCUUAGUAUAGGUGGAGCAGUCAUCCCCUCUGACCCCGUAGUCCAGUUGCCCCGCUUGUUUUCAAAUCUCGAUCUCUGAUCGACGAGCCAGACCUGACACAACACUUACACCCCCUUCGUUGUACGAUGCUACAAGGAUACUAUCGGGUACCGAGGGUGACACCUCGCUAAGUACUCCUGAUGAUAUCUCUGUAGUAUAGCUAGUCGGUCGUGGUUAUCGAGGGUGAUUCCUCUUUCACCAUUCCCAAUGAUGCCUCUGUCGUGCAACCCCUCAAGUGUGGGACCCCCAAGGGUGAUUCCUCUAAGCCCACCUUGACGGGUACAUCAUUCGGAAUCCAACUAGGGUGAUACCUCGGAUCCCCCCCGAUGUUACAACCACACAGUUACUCGACCAUGUUACUGGGAUCGUUGAUGUUUAGUUGUAAGACGGGUGGAUUCCCGUGAGACUGUGUUGUUGGCCUAAUUAAAAUGUUAAUGGAUUUGGGUAUUUGAUCUGGGUUGGUUGGAGACCUUUUCGCACUAACCUGCUACGUGGGAAGAAUUAUGGGUACUCGGCGUCACGGUAUCAGCCGAAGCUUUUCAGAUGUCAGCAAUCGUAGUGGCGCAUGCCCGAGUGGUCUCGAGAUGCAUUGCGCUUGUGAUUAAGGGAUGCUAGGACUGACGUUGGCCGCCCUCGCAUCGUGCAGGAGCGCGGAGGGGAACUGGGCCCAUGAACCCUUUGCGCUUAGGAUUUAGACCGGCGGGCUGACCUCUCUGAUUAGUCUUAGGUGGGGCUGCGACGUGUCGAUAUUCCGAGGCCGGGCAGGACCCAGAAAAGUAUGUCCGGCCAGAGUGUUAUCGAGCGUGACAGGACAUGUGGUGCACCCCUGCAGGGAUGAAAAUUAACUAUUCGGAUAGUCGUGUCCACGGUUAUAGGACGACUUGGAGUUGUGCCCCGAUCUUAUACAACUACAAUUGUUACUUAACUGGAAUUAGUUUGCCUCGGGAUUGCUUCCUCGCACGGAGUCGAGGGAGGAUCUUUAGGCAUGACCUCACUUUAAUAUUGCUGCAACAAUAUGACUUUUAAUGUGUUACCCCUGUUCUACUCUCGUCUAUUGCUGCAAGACCCUGAAGAUGCUAGUCUUCGAUAGGACUAGGCCUUCUCUCUUUAUUCUCGCAUUGCUGCAGUCAGUCCACAUAUAGCCCCCCCUUCUUUGAUACUGAUGCAUAAUUAUAAUAGUUCUGAUGUAAGACUUGCGAGUACUUUGGAUGAGUACUCACUUCUGCUUUGCUCCCCCUCUUGUCCCCUCGAUCCGUUGCUGCGACCAGAUGAUGGAGCCCAGCAGAUGGAGGUCCCCGCCGCCGACGACUCCUACCCCGACGGUGCGUACUACUACGUGGAGGCCGCUGAUGAUCAGGAGUAGUUAGGAGGUUCCCAGGCAGGAGGCCUCGCCUCGUUCGAUCGUUGUAUCUUUUGUGCUAGCCUUCUCUAAGGCACCCCAUGUUUUAUGUCUGUACUCAGAUUUUGUUGCUUCCGCUGACUCGUGUGUUUAUCGAGCUUUCGUAUUCUAGCCCUCGAGGCCCCUGGCUUGUAAUAUGAAGCUGAUGUUAUUUUAUUUGUGUCUAGAGUUGUGUUGUGAUAUCUUCCCGUGAGUCUUUGGGUUUGAUCGUACACAUUUGCGUAUAUGAUUAGCAUAUGAUUAAAUCGAGGGCGUCACAAGUUGGUAUCAGAGCCGACUGCCUCUAGGUAGCCCCCUUUCCAACUCCUUGGCCGAAGUUUAGUCCAGUGUUUGAAAUACUUUACUAACACUGAUGUUGUGCCUUACGGGCCCACAUCUCAAUUGGGUGGUAUUAGUAUCUUUUACUCCUUCCUAUACUCUGGGUUCUACUCUCUCUUCUCUUUCGGGUCAAAGAUUUUACUAACUCUAACAUUAGGUUCUCGAAUCACAUCGACCCGGAGCGCUGGACUAUCUACUCUUUCUCCUGAAUAUAUAUUACACACACUGUCUUUUGACAUCCGUCAAUCUUAUUUUCAGAUGCGUCCUGCAAGACAGCACGUGCGCCUGACACAGGCCAAUGAGACGACUGGGUUCCCGGCCAUUUUGGUCGACCUCCUGACCAGGCUGGGAUAUCGCUGGUACCCCGAGUACACUGUGUUCGAGGAUUUCCGCGAGUACAACCAGUACCAGUACCAGGAUGAGGUUCGCAUCUUCGACCAGAGGGGAGGCAAGACCCUCGAGCGCCACGUCUUCUGUGGUAUUGGAGUGUCGGUCGAGAUGGCCGUCCAUGAUGUGGCCUACAUCGCCAUCACCUGUCUCCAUGGAGCGUACCCUCACCUGGAGGAGAGCCCUUUCAGAUACAUCCCGCAUGCUCCUGCUUGGGAUGAGACUGGGUCUGAUCUCACUGCCUACGCUUCUGAAGUUCGGGAGCGCAUCGACCGUUCCUACGUCGCUGUCUGCGCCCCCUACGUGACGCGUCGCUACGACGCACGGUUUCUGGUGCAGUACACUCAGGCAAUGGAUCGUGCUUUCCGAGCUCUAACUGUGGAGCUGUAUGCUACGCGCGCUCGUCUUUACGACGCGUUGACAGAGCUGCAACCAUCACACUGCCCGAGGGUUCCCCCCUAUGCGCAUCCGCGAGCCGAGCAGGACAGAGCUACCAUCAGCUCUCGAGUGGACUGAUGUUGGGGGUAGAAACCCUGCACUUGGACCUCAGCUCCUCGACUGGAUGCGGUACCCUCACCAGAGUCACAACGGGACACAGGGUCCUGUUACUACCUUCUAUCACCGCCAGCUACCAGGAUUCGAUCGUCCUCUCCGACGUUGAUGUAGCCUUAUCGCUACAUCUUGUUGUGGUACUCUUCCACCGCGUGCCUGCGCGCCGCCUAGUGAGUCCAGGGUAUCGUCUAAUGCGUCUGGGCUAUCGCAAAAUUUCGAAUUUGUAAUCGUUAGUCUGUACUCGAACUUAUGUGUGGGUCUGUAUGUCGAACUCAACUACUAUGGAGUAACUAUCGCAUUUCCCUUUCAUUAUGCUUGAUUACUUCGUGAAUGUGUGCGAUGCCUUUGCAAUUACUUUAAGCUAAACUACCCCUGUUAAAUAUUUAACAGGAUGGUUAGACCAGCUGGCCGCCCGCGUGCCCCUGCCAACGAUGCACCACCCCCGCCUCCUGAGUAUAUGGCGGGGAUGAUCCAACAGUUUGAGCUGAACCGUCAGUUUAUGCAAGGGCUCAUGGAUCAGUUCCAAAGGCCGAACAUGAACCAACCACAAGGCGUGACACUGCAAGACUUCUGCCGCCUCAACCCUGCGAUCUACCGCAGCUCAACUCAGCCUCUUGAUGCCGAUGACUGGCUCCGUGACAUUUCUUAUGAGCUGGAGUGUGCCAAUGUGCCCCAGGCGAGCUAUGUCAACUUUGCCGCCUACUUUCUGAAGGGUCCCGCUGCUCAAUGGUGGGACAGCCACAGGCGCUCUCAGCCCGAUGGAACUAUCAUCACUUGGGCAGAGUUCAAGGCUCCUUUCCGUGCUCGCUACAUUCCCUAGGGAAUCAUGGACUAGAAGAAGCGUGAGUUCCGCAACUUGGUCCAGGGCAACAAGACUGUGGAUGCUUAUCAGCGGGAAUUUCUCGACUUAUCUCGCUAUGCUGAAGAAGACAUUGCAACUGAUGCACGCAGGCAGGAGAAGUUCCGUGAAGGCCUCCACCCUGAUAUCAAGCUGACACUCCUCGUUCAGGACUAUGCUGAUUUCGCCACCCUGGUGAACAAGGCUAUUCAGGUUGAGACUGGUCUGCAGGAAUACAAAGAUAGCAGCAAGCGCAACCGUGACAUGGGCUCAUCUUCGGGCUCAUGUGCACAGAAGCGAAAGAUCUGGAUUCCCAACAACAUGUACCAUGCACCUGCUCCUGCUCCGAGGCUGUCCUAUGCUGCACCUCGCCUACCUCCUCCACCACCUAGGCAGCCGAGGCUUCCAGCUCCACCGCCUCGAGUUCCUCCUUCCCGUCCUGAGGACGGGCUGUGCUUCAAGUGUGGCCGUCCAGGUCACCGUGCUAGAGACUGCAGGCAGAAUCCGAAUCAGCUGACACUUCCCGCAACUGGCAGUGGCAACAACCAGAACCGCAACUUCAACGCUAAGCCUGCUUAUGUUCGUGGUCAGGCCAACAACAUUGAUAUGGGUCAAGCUCAAGACCAGCCUACUACCGUGAUGGGUACACUUCUCGUUAACUCAGUACCUGCUUCUGUAUUGUUUGAUACAGGAGCAUCACAUUCCUUUAUGUCGGAAAGUUUUGCAUUCAUGCAUGGCAUUAAGUACGAAGAGAUGAACGUCCCAAUAGUUGUAAACACCCCCUCGGGCCAAUGCCGACCCUCCAUGGUCUGCUCCAAUGUCCCAUUGAAAUUGAAGGAUUGGAAUUCUUUGCCUCUCCCAUGUUAUUAAGUUCUUCCAACAUUGAUCUCAUACCGGGGAUGGACUGGUUUAAAGCUCAUACGGCAUCGGUCGUUUGUGCCACCAAGACCGUCCACCUCCUACACCCUUCAGAUGAAUUAAUAAGCUACCAUGCUCAUCUCGUCCGUAAUGCUGAGGCACGGUUGUAUGCUUUGAAUGCAUUAAAUGCGUCGCCUCUUGAAGGGAUUGAAAACAUCCCAGUGGUCCGAGAAUUUCAAGAUGUCUUCCCAGAAGAACUUCCGGGGAUUCCCCCUACUCGAGCUGUCGAGUUUGUCAUUGACUUGGUACCCGGUACCACUCCUAUUGCAAAGCGCCCUUAUAAAAUGCCACCACAUGAACUCCUUGAACUUAAGCAAGAAAUUGACAACUCGCUCCGUCUGGGUUUCAUCCGUCCGAGUUCCUCUGCUUGGGGAGCACCUUCUCUCUUUGUUAAGAAGAAGGAUGGGACAAAUCGAUUGGUUCAAGACUAUCGUCCUAUCAACCAGGCCACUAUUCAAAACAAAUAUCCUCUCCCUCGGAUAAAUGAUUUGUAUGAUCAACUUGCUGGUUCCACCGUCUUCUCUAAGCUCGACUUGAGGUUGGGAUACCACCAGAUCCAUGUUCGCAAGGAGGAUAUUCCAAAGACCGCCUUUGUUACUCGAUAUGGAUCAUACGAGUACACCGUCAUGUCCUUCGGCUUAACCAAUGCACCGGCAACCUUCUCUCGAUUGAUGAAUUAUAUAUUCAUGGACUACCUCGACAAAUUUGUCAUGGUAUAUCUGGAUGAUAUUCUGGUAUUUUCGAAGAACAAAGAAGAGCAUGCUGAACAUCUUCGUCUUGUACUGGAUAAGCUUCGGGAGCAUAAACUCUAUGCGAAGUAUUGCAAAUGUGAGUUCUGGCUAGACGAAGUGACUUACCUUGGUCAUGUGAUUUCCAAGGAUGGUAUUGCGGUCAACCCCGAACGAAUUCAAGCUAUUCUUGUCUAGACUCCCCCGAAGAAUGUUAAGCAAGUCAGAAGUUUUCUCGGACUCGCCAGCUAUUGCCGUCGAUUUGUCGAGAACUUCUCCAAGAUUGCGAAGCCCUUAACCAAUCUGCUUCACAAAGGUGUUAAGUAUGAGUGGACUGAUAAAUGUCAGGAAAGUUUCCAGGCGCUCAAGGACAAACGUACGUCCGCUCGAGUACUUGCUCCUCCAGAUACGAAAAGGGAUUUCGUCAUAUACUGUGAUGCUUCUCGUCAAGGAAUAGGUUGUGUCCUAAUGCAGGAUCGCAAGGUGAUCGCUUAUGCUUCACGUCAACUGCGUGCUCAUGAAGAGAACUACCCAGUUCAUGAUCUCGAGCUUGCCACAGUCAUUCAUGCAUUGAAGGAAUGGUGACAAUACCUUGUCGGUAAUCGCUGUGAAAUCUACACCGACCAUCAAAGUCUGAAGUACUUGUUCACUCAACCGGAGCUGAACCUACGUCAACAAAGAUGGAUGGAGCGUAUAGCAGAUUUUGACUGUAGUAUAUCAUAUACCCCUGGCAAGGCUAACAUAAUGGCUGAUGCCUUGAGUCGCAAGUCAUACUGCAACCACCUCCAGGUUCAUAAGGUUCACGAUCGUCUGCAAGAGGAAUUCCGUAAGCUGAACCUCCACGUUGUUCCUCAGGGUUACCUUGUUCCCCCUCCUGAAGAGUGUCAAAAUAUGAACCUUCGUGUUGUUAAUCAGGGUUCCCUCAGUAACCUAGUGGUUGAACCAGAUCUUGUGAGCUCCAUAAAGAAUCUGCAAGGCUUUGACGAUGAUGUCGACAUGAUUAAGAGCUAUAUUGCGAAGGGUAAACCCUCCUUUUUCACUGUUGAUGAAGAUGGCGCCUUGUAUUUCAAGGGUCGCCUAUUCGUCCCAAAUAAGAAGGAAAAUCUCAGGAUGACCGGGAAGGUGAUGGAAGAAGCUCAUGACACACCAUUGUCUAUUCACCCGGGUAGUACCAAGAUGUACCAAGACAUCCGGCAAAGAUUCUGGUGGCCCAAUAUGAAACAAGACAUUGCAUGCUAUGUGGCAGAAUGUGAUAUAUGUCGGCGUAUCAAAGCAGAACACCAAAAGCCUGCUGGGACUCUGCAACCUAUCUCUAUUUCGGAGUGGAAAUGGGACCAUGUUGAAAUGGACUUUGUCACUGGUUUUCCCAGAUCUCAGAAAGGUAAUGAUGCUAUUCUUGUCGUCAUUGAUCGACUGUCCAAAGUUGCACAUUUCCUGGCCGUCAAAGAAACAAUUAAUGCUAGUCAGCUGGCAGAUCUUUAUAUGUCAAGAGUUGUUUCACUUCACGGUAUUCCGUUGGUAAUCAGUUCGGACCAUGGCAGCUUGUUCACUUCAAAAUUCUGGGAAAGUUUUCAGAAGGCUAUGGGGACUCAUCUGUCCUUCAGCACUGCAUUUCAUCCUCAAUCCCAGGGACAAGUUGAACGAGUCAACCAAAUUCUCGAGGACAUGCUUCGAGCUUGUGUCAUUUAUUUCGGUAAGAAAUGGGAGGAAUAUCUCCCGUAUGCCGAGUUCUCUUACAACAAUAGCUAUCAAGCUAGUCUGAAGAUGGCCCCUUUCGAAGUAUUGUAUGGGCGAAGGUGUCGAACUCCUCUGAAUUGGUCAGAAAUUGGGGAACGAUCACUCUUCGGUCCAGAUAUUAUUCAACAUGCCGAAGAUCAAGUCUGCAUUAUUCAUGAGAAUCUGAAGGCUGCUCAGUCUCGUCAGAAGAGUCAGUAUGACCGUCAUCAUCAAGAUAUGGUCUAUCAACCUGGCGAAAAGGCUUAUCUUCGUGUCACACCAAUGAGAGGUGCACACCGUUUCGGAAUCAAGGGCAAGUUAGCUCCUCGUUAUAUUGGUCCUUUCACUGUUAUCGAAAGGCGUGGAAGAGUGGCUUAUCAAUUGGAACUGCCGGCGAACCUUUCUCAGGUUCACGAUGUCUUCCAUGUUUCUCAGCUCCGUCGCUGCUUCAAGGACCCUAUUCGAGCAGUGGAUCACGAUAUGCUUGAGCUACAACAAGACCUCUCUUAUAAAGAGCAUCCGGUCCGCAUUCUUGACCAAGCUGAACGUAAGACUCGUCGCAAGGUCACCAAGUUCCUUAAGGUGCAGUGGUCAAAUCACUCUGAAGAUGAAGCCACUUGGGAACGCGAGGAUCAUCUUAGUGAUGAAUACCCCAGGCUCUUUCCCUCUACCUCUUAAUUCUCGGGACGAGAAUUCUUGUUAGUAGGGGAGAAUUGUGACAUCCUCGACUUUUGCUACAGUAAAUAUUGUAAUUAAGCUACAGUGAUCACCCGCUAAUGAUGCCACAUCAUCGAGAAUUACCGUCGUUGACCCGCAUUGAAUUUCUAUCCGGAUUCAGAAAUUGAAAACAAAAGAAAAGUAUAUUUAUAAAUUCAUAUUAACUAUUAAAGGAAGACAUGUAUAGAAAGAAAGUAUUAAAAAUAAUAAUAAUAAAAGAAAGAAAAGAAAAGAAAUUAAAAAAAGGAAAUUAGAAAGAGGAAAUAAUAGAAAAAGAAAAAAAACAAAAAAAAAGAAAAAAAAAGAAAAAAAANCAUGAAGAAACUCCAUGCCGAUGGACUUUUGGAGUCACUUCACUUUGAUUCACUUGACACGUGCGAACCAUGCCUCAUGGGCAAGAUGACUAAAACUCUGUUCUCCGGAACAAUGGAGCGUGCAAGUGACUUGUUGGAAAUCAUACAUACCGAUGUGUGUGGUCCGAUGACCGUAGAGGCACGCGGCGGAUAUCGUUAUUUUCUCACCUUCACUGACGAUUUGAGUAGAUAUGGUUAUGUCUACUUAAUGAAGCACAAGUCUGAAACAUUUGAAAAGUUCAAGCAAUUUCAUAGUGAAGUUGAAAAUCAUCGUAACAAGAAGAUCAAGUUCCUACGGUCUGAUCGUGGGGGUGAAUAUCUGAGUUUCGAGUUUGGUGCUCACUUAAGACAAUGUGAAAUUGUUUCACAGUUGACACCGCCUGGAACACCACAGCGUAAUGGUGUGUUCGAACGUCGUAAUCGUACUUUAUUAGAGAUGGUGCGAUCUAUGAUGUCUCUUACUGAUUUGCCGUUAUCGUUUUGGGGUUAUGCAUUAGAAACAGCUGUAUUCACUUUAAAUAGGGAACCAUCAAAAUCCGUUGAGACGACACCAUACGAACUGUGGUAUGGCAAAAGGCCAAAGUUGUCGUUUCUUAAAGUUUGGGGAUGUGAUGCUUAUGUCGAAAAGCUUCAGCCUGAAAAGCUGGAACCCAAAGCGGAAAAGUGCAUCUUCAUAGGUUACCCAAAAGAGACAGUUGGGUACACCUUCUAUCUCAAAUCCGAGGGCAAAGUGUUUGUUGCUAAAAACGGAGCUUUUCUCGAGUAGGAGUUUCUCUCGAGAGAAUUGAGUGGGAGGAAGAUAGAACUUGAUGAGGUUGUCGAACCUCUCAUCCCUCUGGAUGGUGGCGUAGGGCAAGGGGAAACCUUUGUCGUUGCGACGCCGGUUGAGGAGGAAGUUAAUGAUGAUGAUCAUGAAACUCCGGUUCAAGUUUCUGUCGAACCACGCAGGUCAACGAGACCACGUGCUGCUCCAGAGUGGUACGGUAAUCCCGUCUUGUCAAUCAUGUUGUUAGACAACAAUAAACCUGCAAAUUAUGAAGAAGCAAUGGUGGGCCCAGAUUCCAACAAAUGGCUAGAAGCCAUGAAGUCCGAGAUAGGAUCCAUGUAUGAGAACAAAGUGUGGACUUUGGAAGUACUACGUGAGGGCCGUAAGGCUAUUCAGAACAAAUGGAUCUUUAAAAGGAAGACGGAUGCUGACGGCAAUGUGACCAUUUAUAAAGCUUGACUUGUGGCAAAGGGUUUUUCACAAGUUCAAGGAGUUGACUACGAUGAGACAUUCUCACCCGUAGCGAUGCUUAAGUUCGUCAGAAUCAUGUUAGCAAUAGCUGCAUUUUUUGAUUAUGAAAUCUGGCAGAUGGAUGUCAAAACGGCGUUCCUUAACAGUUUCCUUAAGGAAGAGUUGUAUAUGAUGCAACCCGAAGGUUUUGUCGAUCCUAAGAAUGCUAACAAGGUGUGCAAGCUCCAGCGAUCCAUUUAUGGACUGGUGCAAGCAUCUCGGAGUUGGAAUAAACGCUUUGAUGAGGUGAUCAAAGCAUUUGGGUUUAUACAAGUGGUUGGAGAAUCUUGUAUUUACAAGAAAGUGAGUGGGAGCUCUGUGGCGUUUCUAAUAUUAUAUGUGGAUGACAUAUUGCUGAUUGGAAACAACGUAGAGUUUUUGGAGAGCAUAAAGGAUUACUUGAAUAAAAGUUUCUCUAUAAAGGACCUAGGAGAAGCUGCUUACAUUCUAGGCAUUAAGAUCUACAGGGAUAGAUCAAAACGCCUGAUAGGACUUUCACAAAGCACAUACCUUGAUAAAGUUUUGAAGAGGUUCAAAAUGGAACAGUCCAAGAAAGGGUUCUUGCCAGUUUUACAAGGUACGAGAUUGAGUAAGACUCAGUGCCCAGCAACUGAUGAGGAGAGAGAGCAUAUGAGCGUCGUCCCCUAUGCUUCAGCCAUAGGUUCUAUCAUGUAUGCAAUGCUGUGCACUAGACCGGACGUUAGCCUGGCCAUAAGUAUGGCAGGCAGGUUCCAGAGUAAUCCAGGAGUGGAUCACUAGACGGCGGUCAAGAAUAUCCUGAAGUACCUGAAAAGGACUAAUGAGAUGUUUCUCAUGUAUGGAGGUGACGAAGAGCUCACCGUAAAGGGUUACGUCGAUGCAAGCUUUGACACAUAUCCGGAUGACUCUAAGUCGCAGACCGGAUACGUAUUUACUCUUAAUGGGGGUGCGGUAAGCUGGUGCAGUUCCAAGCAAAGCGUCGUAGCAGAUUCUACAUGUGAAGCGGAGUACAUGGCUCCCUCGGAGGCAGCUAAGGAGGGUGUCUGGAUGAAGCAGUUCAUGACGGAUCUUGGAGUGGUGCCAAGUGCACUGAAUCCAAUAACCUUGUUCUGUGACAACACGGGUGCCAUUGCCUUAGCAAAGGAACCAUGGUUUCACAAGAAGUCCACACACAUCAAACGACGCUUCAACCUCAUCCGCGACUACGUCGAAGGGGAGGACGUGAAUAUAUGCAAAGUGCACACGGAUCUGAAUGUAGCAGACCCGCUAACUAAACCUCUUCCACGGGAAAAGCAUGAUCAACACUAGAACUGUAUGGGUGUUAGAUUUAUUACAAUGUAAUUCGCAUGAUGAUGUGAGGGCUAGAUUAUUGACUCUAGUGCAAGUGGGAGACUGUUGGAAUUAUGCCCUAGAGGCAAUAAUAAAUAUAGUUAUUAUUAUAAUUCCUGUAUCAAGAUAAUCAUUUAUUAUCCAUAAUAUAAUUGUAUUGAAUGAAGACUUAUAUACAUGUGUGGAUACAUAGACAAAACACUGCCCCUAGCAAGCCUCUAGUUGGCUAGCCAGUUGAUCAAAGAUAGUCAGUGUCUUCUGAUUAUGAACAAGGUGUUGUUGCUUGAUAACUGGAUCACGUCAUUAGGAGAAUCACGUGAUGGACUAGACCCAAACUAAUAGACGUAGCAUGUUGAUCGUGUCAUUUUGUUGCUACUGUUUUCUGCGUGUCAAGUAUUUGUUCCUAUGACCAUGAGAUCAUAUAACUCACUGACACCGGAGGAAUACUUUGUGUGUAUCAAACGUCGCAACGUAACUGGGUGACUAUAAAGAUGCUCUACAGGUAUCUCCGAAGGUGUUCGUUGAGUUAGUAUGGAUCGAGACUAGGAUUUGUCACUCCGUGUGACGGAGAGGUAUCUUGGGGCCCACUCGGUAAUACAACAUCACACACAAGCCUUGCAAGCAAUGUGACUUAAUGUAAGUUGCGGGAUCUUGUAUUACGGAACGAGUAAAGAGACUUGCCGAUAAACGAGAUUGAAAUAGGUAUACGGAUACUGACGAUCGAAUCUCGGGCAAGUAACAUACCGAAGGACAAAGGGAAUGACAUACGGGAUUAUAUGAAUCCUUGGCACUGAGGUUCAAACGAUAAGAUCUUCGUAGAAUAUGUAGGAUCCAAUAUGGGCAUCUAGGUCCCGCUAUUGGAUAUUGACCGAGGAGUCUCUCGGGUCAUGUCUACAUAGUUCUCGAACUCGCAGGGUCUGCACACUUAAGGUUCGACGUUGUUUUAUGCGUAUUUGAGUUAUAUGGUUGGUUACCGAAUGUUGUUCGGAGUCCCGAAUGAGAUCACGGACGUCACGAGGGUUUCCGGAAUGGUCCAGAAACGAAGAUUGAUAUAUAGGAUGACCUCAUUUGAUUACCGGAAGGUUUUCGGAGUUACCGGGAAUGUACCGGGAAUGACGAAUGGGUUCUGGGAGUUCACCGGGUGGCAACCCACCCCGGGGAAGCCCAUAGGCCUUGGGGGUGGCACACCAGCCCUUAGUGGGCUGGUGGGACAGCCCAAGAAGGCCCUAUACGCCAUGGGAAGAAAAUCAAAGAGAAAAGAAAAAAAAGGAGGAGGUGGGAAAAGGGGGAAGGACUCCUCCUUCCAAACCUAGUUGGACUCGGUUUGGAAGGGGAGGGCUGCCCCCCUUAGCUCGGCUGAAGCCCUUAGGGGUCCUUGGACCCCCAAGGCAAGGCUCCCCCUCUUCCCCCUAUAUAUACGGAGGUUUUAGGGCUGAUUUUAGAUGACUUUUCCAUGGCAGCCCGACCACAUACCUCCACGGUUUUUCCUCUAGAUCGCGUUUCUGCGGAGCUCGGGCGGAGCCCUGCUGAGAUAAGAUCACCACCAACCUCCGGAGCACCAUCACGCUGCCGGAGAACUCUUCUACCUCUCCGUCUCUCUUGCUGGAUCAAGAAGGCCGAGAUCAUCAUCGAGCUGUACGUGUGCUGAACGCGGAGGUGCCAUCCGUUCGGCACUAGAUCGUGGGACUGAUCGCGGGACGGUUCGCGGGGCGGAUCGAGGGACGUGAGGACGUUCCACUACAUCAACCACGUUCACUAACGCUUCUGCUGUACGGUCUACAAGGGUACAUAGAUCACACAUCCCCUCUCGUAGAUGGACAUCACCAUGAUAGGUCUUUGUGCGCGUAGGAAAAAUUUUGUAUCCCAUGCGACGUUCCCCAACAGUGGUAUCAUGAGCUAGGUUCAUGCGUAGAUGUCUUCUCGAGUAGAACACAAAAGUUUUUGUGGGUAGUGAUGUGCGUUUUGCUGCCCUCCUUAGUCUUUUCUUGAUUCCGCGGUAUUGUUGGAUCGAAGCGGCUCGGACCGACAUUACUCGUACGCUUGUGAGACUGGUUUCAUCGCUACGAGUAACUCCGUUGCUCAAAGAUGACUGGCGAGUGUCAGUUUCUCCAACUUUAGUUGAAUCGGAUUUGACCGAGGAGGUCCUUGGAUGAGGUUAAAUAGCAACUCAUAUAUCUCCGUUGUGGUGUUUGCGUAAGUAAGAUGCGAUCCUACUAGAUACCCAUGGUCACCACGUAAAACAUGCAAUAACAAAAUUAGAGGACGUCUAACUUGUUUUUGCAGGGUAUGCUUGUGAUGUGAUAUGGCCAACAAUGUGAUGUGAUAUAUUGGAUGUAUGAGAUGAUCAUGUUGUAAUAGAUAAUAUCGACUUGCACGUCGAUGGUACGGCAACGGGCAGGAGCCAUAGGGUUGUCUUUAUACUAACGUUUGUGCUUACAGAUGCGUUUACUAUUUUGCUAGGAUGUAGCUUUAGUAGUAAUAGCAUGAGUAGCACGACAACCCCGAUGGCGACACGUUGAUGGAGAUCAUGGUGGCGCCGGUGACAAGAAGAUCGUGUCGGUGCUUGGUGAUGGAGAUCAAGGAGCACGUGAUGAUGGCCAUAUCAUGUCACUUAUGAAUUGCAUGUGAUGUUAAUCCUUUUAUGCACCUUAUUUUGCCUGGAACGACGGUAGCAUUAUGAGGUGAUCUCUCACCAAAAUUUCAAGACGAAAUUGUGUUCUCCCCGACUGUGCACCGUUGCUACAGUUCGUCGUUUCGAGACACCACGUGAUGAUCGGGUGUGAUAGACUCAACGUUCACAUACAACGGGUGCAAAACAGUUACGCACGCGGAACACUUGGGUUAAGCUUGAGGAGCCUAGCAUGUGCAGACAUGGCCUCGGAACACAUGAGACCGAAAGGUCGAUCAUGAAUCAUAUAGAUGAUAUGAUUAGCAUGGGGAUGCUUACCACUGAAACUAUGCUCAACUCACGUGAUGAUCGGACUUGAGCUAGUGUAAGUGGAUUAUGAACCACUCAAAUGACUAGAGAGAUGUACUUUUUGAGUGGGAGUUUAGCGAGUAAUUUGAUUAAGUUAAACUCUAAUUAUCUUGAACAUAGUCUAAGUCCACUUUGAAUAUAUUUGUGUUGUAGAUCAUGGCUCACGCGACAGUCACCCUGAAUUUUAAUACAUUCCUAGAGAAAGCUAAGUUGAAAGAUGAUGGAAGCAACUUUGUAGACUGGGCUCGCAAUCUUAAGCUAAUCUUACAAGCUGGGAAGAAGGAUUAUGUCCUUAAUGCUGCGCUAGGAGAUGAACCACCCGCUACGGCUGAUCGGGAUGUUAAGAACGCUUGGUUAGCACGUAAGGAGGACUACUCAGUAGUUCAAUGUGCAGUCUUGUAUGGCUUAGAACCGGGACUUCAACGUCGCUUUGAGCGUCAUGGAGCAUUUGAGAUGUUCUAGGAGUUGAAUUUUAUCUUUCAGAAGAACGCCCGGAUCGAGAGGUAUGAGACCUCCUAUAAAUUCUAUGCUUGCAAGAUGGAGGAGAACUCGUCUGUCAGUGAACAUGUGCUCAAAAUGUCUGGGUACUCAAACCGUCUAGCUGACCUGGGGAUUGAACUCCCGCAAGAGGCUAUCACUGACAGAAUCCUUCAAUCACUGCCGCCAAGCUAUAAAGGCUUUGUGUUGAACUACAACAUGCAAGGGAUGAACAAGACACCGGCGAGUUCUUUGCGAUGCUGAAAGUCGCAGAGUCUGAACUCCGUAAAGAACAUCAAGAGUUGAUGGUGAAUAAGACCACUAGUUUCAAGAGAAACGGCAAAGGCAAGAAGGGUAAAUCAAAGAAGAGCGGCAAGCCUGUUGCCAAUCCGACGAAGAAACCCAAAGGUGGACCUAAGCCUGAAACAGAGUGUUACUAUUGCAAGGGUAUGGGUCACUGGAAGCGCAAUUGCCCCAAGUAUUUGGCUGAUAAGAAGGUGGCCAAAGAAAAAUCAGGUAUAUUUGAUAUACAUGUUAUUGAUGUGUACUUAACCGGCUCUCGUAGUAGUGCCUAGGUUUUCGAUACCGGUUCUGUUGCUAUUUGCAACUCAAAACAGGAACUGCGGAAUAGACGAAGGCUGGCGAAAGAUGAAGUGACGAUGCGCGUAGGAAAUGGUUCCAAGGUUGAUGCAAUCACCGUCGGCACAGUUUCACUUCAGUUACCAUCAGGAUUAGUUAUGAACUUGAAUCAUUGUUAUUUAGUGCCUGCAUUGAGCAUGAACAUUAUAUCUGGAUCUUGUUUAUUGCGAGACGGUUACUCUUUUAAGUCAGAGAAUAAUGGUUGUUCUAUUUCUAUGAGUAACAUCUUUUAUGGUCAUGCACCCAAUGUGAGAGGAUUGUUCAUAUUGAAUCUUGAUAGCGAUACACACAUACAUAACAUUGAGGCCAAAAGAGUUAGAGUUAACAAUGAUAGCGCCAUAUUUUUGUGGCACUGUCGCUUAGGUCAUAUUGGUGUAAAGUGNCCUCGCCUCACCUCCCCACCGGCACCAGCCUCCGUCGGCCCCUCAACCCCCCACCGAGCCACCCCACUUUUUCCCGGUUGGCCAAGCUCCGGCGCCCCCACCCCGUCGGACGGCCCCAACCCCCGUCGGCCUUCCUUCCGCUCGGUCCAGGAGGGACCGAGCAGGGAGGACCUCAACCUCGCCGGUUCCGGCCGGCCUCACCUCGACCGACCCCCCUCCUUCAACGCCGCCCCCCCUCCGGGAGGGCCUCGACCUCGCCGGCACGUCCUCACCAACACCACCGUCAUCACCGCGCCAUCACCACCGUCACCUCCGCCUUCCCGCGAACUCCGGCUUCACCGGGCCGUCUCAUCAACGUUGCUGAGCCCCUCCUCGGGCUCCUCCCACGAUCUCGUUCCCCUUGCCGUCCCGGUUCCGUUCCGACGAACGGCACUCCGAUCCGGCGCCGUUAGGUUCAUGUAGGAGUUCGAGGAGAUGUAGCUCUCUCUCUCUUUGUGUGAAGUUCUGUGUGUUAACAGAGAGGUGAGAGUUGUGAGAGUUAAAAAAAAUAAAAAAAAUAAAUGAUGUAUAAGAUACGUAUGUAUGUAUGUAUGUAUGAGAUGCGAUGUAUGUAUUGCGUAUAUAGGUAUUUGGAGGAAUACGAUAAUUGCAUGAUUAUGUAUGUGUGAAAAAGAUGAGUAUAUGGCCUAAAGUCACUUACCGGUGGGGCCAACGCACCCGCUGUCUAUGACAGGGAGGCCCCACGCGAUAAUUAAAAAAAUAAAAAUAAUGUUAAUGUUUUUAUUAAAUAAAUAAAUAGAUAUAUUAGUUAAAUUAAUUAAUUGGAUAAUUAGAAUAAUUAGAGUAUGACAUGCGGGUCCCCCACUAAAUUAAUCUGAUUAAUUAAUAUUUAAUCUUAAUUAAAACUUGUGCCUAUGACGUUCGGGACCCGCUGGUCAGUUGACCAGUCAAUUGUUGAUGUGAGCAUCACAUCAUGCUGAUGUCAUAAUAGCUUUUUAUUGAAUUAUUUAAAUCUGUUUUUAAUUCCUAAUUAUUGAAUAAAACUUUAAAAAUUAAUAUUAAAUAAUCCAUAAGUCAGAUCAAAAUAUUUUCAACAUGAAAGUUGAUUAGCAGAACGAGACGAACCCGGAUACACGGUCCAUUCGUGUGUCACGCGUCCCUAGUAUAGCAAACAUGGAACAUUCCCAUCGUAGUAUGACCAGUAGUAGCCCGAGACCCGGAAAAUAUUGUCAGAUAUUCUUCCGACCCGUCUAUGACGGAUGUUGCUGCGUUAGCUCAUGUCUAGCCUGCAUCUUGCCAUGUCAUGCUUUGUGUUGCACCGUGUUGGGGAACGUCGCAUGGGAAACAAAAAUUUUCCUACGCGCACGAAGACCUAUCAUGGUGAUGUCCAUCUACGAGAGGGGAUGUGUGAUCUACGUACCCUUGUAGACCGUACAACAGAAGCGUUAGUGAACGUGGUUGAUUUAGUGGAACGUCCUCGCGUCCCUCGAUCCGCCCCACGAACCGUCCCGCGAUCAGUCCCACGAUCUAGUGCCGAACGGACGGCACCUCCGCGUUCAGCACACGUACAGCUCGACGAUGAUCUCGGCCUUCUUGAUCCAGCAAGAGAGACGGAGAGGUAGAAGAGUUCUCCGGCAGCGUGACGGCGCUCCGGAGGUUGGUGGUGAUCUUAUCUCAGUAGGGCUCCGCCCGAGCUCCGCAGAAACGCGAUCUAGAGGAAAAACCGUGGAGGUAUGUGGUCGGGCUGCCGUGGAAAAGUCGUCUCAAAUCAGCCCUAAAACCUCCGUAUACAUAGGAGGAAGAGGGGGAGCUUUGCCGUGGGGUCCAAGGACCCCUAAGGGCUUCGGCCGAGCCAAGGGGGGAAGCCCUCCCCUUCCAAACCGAGUCCAACUAGGUUUGGAAGGAGGAGUCCUUCCCCCUUUUCCCACCUCCUCCUUUUUUUCUUUUCUCUUUGAUUUUCUUCCUAUCUCGCAUAGGGCCUUCUUGGGCUGUCCCACCAGCCCACUAAGGGCUGGUGUGCCACACCCAAGGCCUAUGGGCUUCCCCGGGGUGGGUUGCCCCCCGGUGAACUCCCGGAACCCAUUCGUCAUUCCCGGUACAUUCCCGGUAACUCCGAAAACCUUCCGGUAAUCAAAUGAGGUCAUGCUAUAUAUCAAUCUUCGUUUCCAGACCAUUCCGAAAACCCUCGUGACGUCUGUGAUUUCAUCCGGGACUCCGAACAACAUUCGGUAACCAACCAUAUAACUCAAAUACGCAUAAAACAACGUCGAACCUUAAGUGUGCAGACCCUGCGGGUUCGAGAACUAUGUAGACAUGACCCGAGAGACUCCUCGGUCAAUAUCCAAUAGCGGGACCUGGAUGCCCAUAUUGGAUCCUACAUAUUCUACGAAGAUCUUAUCGUUUGAACCUCAGUGCCAAGGAUUCAUAUAAUCCCGUAUGUCAUUCCCUUUGUCCUUCGGUAUGUUACUUGCCCGAGAUUCGAUCGUCAGUAUCCGUAUACCUAUUUCAAUCUCGUUUACCGGCAAGUCUCUUUACUCGUUCUGUAAUACAAGAUCCCGCAACUUACAUUAAGUCACAUUGCUUGCAAGGCUUGUGUGUGAUGUUGUAUUACCGAGUGGGCCCCGAGAUACCUCUCCGUCACACAGAGUGACAAAUCCCAGUCUCGAUCCAUACUAACUCAACGAACACCUUCGGAGAUACCUGUAGAGCAUCUUUAUAGUCACCCAGUUACGUUGCGACGUUUGAUACUCACAAAGUAUUCCUCCGGNNNNNNNNNNNNNNNNNNNNNNNNNNNNNNNNNNNNNNNNNNNNNNNNNNNNNNNNNNNNNNNNNNNNNNNNNNNNNNNNNNNNNNNNNNNNNNNNNNNNGAGGGGCGACGCGGGGAACGGCGAGGUCGCCAUGGCAGGGAGGCUGCGACCGGGGCGGCGAGCUCGAGGCCGAGGGCGAGCACGCGGGGAACUCGGGGGCGAGGGCGGCGCGCGGGUCGGGCACUAGCGGCGGCGCGGGCGCAUGGGACGGGGAGCAGAGAGGCGGCUCGACGUGCAGAUGGACGGCUGCGCGCGGGAGACCGCAUGGCGAGGAGGACCAGGGGAGGCCGGCGAGCAGGGGGCUUGGCGCUGGCAGGGCGGUGCGGCUCGGGCCUGGGGCUGGCGGCGCGUAGAGGGGAGAAGAGAGGGCGAGGGAGGUGGCCACGGCGAGGCAAGGGGACCUGGAGGCGGCAGGGCGGAGCAGGGAACGAGGAGACGAGAAUCGGGAGGAGACGGCGCUGUGGGUGACGAGGGAGAGGCGCAGCACGACGCUAGGGAUGGAGGGGGCCUGGGCCUUGGCCGGCUGGGCCUUGGUCUGGGUCCUCUCCUUCUAAAAGAAAAAAUGUCUUGCACAAAAAAAUAAAAUAGCCGGUUUAAAAAAAGGAAACCACAACCAGAAGAAAAGGAAUUUACUAAAACAAAAAUACUUUUGGGCUCCUUAAAACAUGCUCCAACUAUAAAAAUAGAUUGGGCUCUUUAAACAAAUAAAAAUGAAACCUUUUCGAAGAGUAAAAUGAAACCUUUUAAAGAAUUAAAAAUCAAAACCCUUUUUUAAAAGAAUAAAAUAAACCUAUUUUAUUUAAAGUGUAAAAUAAAAGUUCUUUAAAAGAGAUAAGAAAAUGAGAUUGUUUAAAGAUAAAACAAAAGGAGAAAAUGAAGAAAACCCAAGGGGUUGCCUCCAAAUUAAUAAAAUGAUUUUUCUUUAAAAGAAGACGAAUCUUUAAUUUUGAAAAUAGGGAUUAAAACUAAAGUCUUUAGCCAAACCACAAAAAGGAAAUGAGAGGGGAGAGAAGGUUUUAGGUCCGCGGUGCAACAGGGCUUAGCGGUGGCUCUCACGCACCCUCUUUCAUCACUCCAACAAAACAACGCCACUCAUGAAGCACUAUCACCCAACAACACGGAGCAGCAGGCGACACCGACUAAACACAGUUGACAUGAUGCCAUGCAUGAUGCGAUGAUGCAAACUACAUGACGAUGCAACGAAUAAAUCUAAUCACACGACNNNNNNNNNNNNNNNNNNNNNNNNNNNNNNNNNNNNNNNNNNNNNNNNNNNNNNNNNNNNNNNNNNNNNNNNNNNNNNNNNNNNNNNNNNNNNNNNNNNNUUUCCUCCCCUGGGACUCGCCUUUAUAUACAGGUCGAACCCCUAGGGUUUACAAGGAUACUUUCCUUCCUACAAAUCGUGACCCCUGUGGUCUCUAAGUCGCCAUCUUCCGAAGCUUGGAGACCUUCCAGGAAUCAUAAACCGUCAUACGACCUUGAUCCGGCCAAGACAAGGCCCAAAUAAUUGUUUGGGUGAAUCGCCUAAUUGGUAACCCGGCCGAACUAGGGCGGGUCAUUCACAGGUAAUAUCCCCAACACCUAACCCCCACAUAGAACUCUCACAAAGACCAUGGGUUAGUACACAAACACGUAAUGGACAAUGCUUACCAUACCAUGGGAUCACUUGAUCCCUCUCGGUACAUCUUGUAUGGUUUGUGUGUUGAUCAUCUUGAUUUACUCUUUGUCUGAGAUCUUGAUCAACCUUGUGUCUCUAUGACCAUUCUUUGGAUAAUACCUUGAAUACCAUCUUGGUCAUCAUAUAAACUCCUUGAACCCAACAGAUGGACUUCAAGAAGUGACUAUGGACAAAUCCUAUAAAUAUAACUUAAGGCAACCAUUAGUCCAUAGGAAUUGUCAUCAAUUAGCAAAACCACAUAUGGAGAUAUGUGCUCUAACAAUCUCCCCCAUUUUGGUAAUUGAUGACAACCACUUCAAGAGAGUUUAUAUAAGAAAUAAGCAUAACCAAGCGCACACAUACAAAGCAAUAAUGCAUGCGUGCAAGAUGUAAAUGCUUACGCAAUAAAAGAAAACCCUCAAAACAUAUCCAAAGUAAACUCUCUAAACUUCUCCCCCAUUGGCAUCGAUUGCCAAAAUGGACGAAAAGUUUAGAAAGCCAAUAUAGUAGGUGGUCCUCCAAAAAGUGUGUACUUCUCAGCAAAUGAGUGCAAAGAAAUACACAAAUACAAUGAUAAGUAGUUGGAGGAAAAAAACUAUAUUGAGGACCCAAAGAUUGCAAAUGAAAGGAUCGUAUGCCACAAAGACAUACAAAAAAUAGAGGCAAGCAAUCAAAAGAUACCAGAUGGAACAAACAAUCAUAUGGUCCUUGGAACCACAUGAAUAAAAGAUAUUAUGAUAAAGGCAACAGAGUGUUUUAUGAAAAUUAGAGAAGCUCCCCAUGAUUUGUGCACUAAUACAAGAUUUUUGUAUUUGAUAUAAGUGCACAAAAUAGGAUCGUUGCUCCCCCAAAAUUAAUAAAAACACACAACGAGUGCAAGAAGAUAGAUGAGACAAAAAGCAUAUCAAUUGCACAAAACAAAUGGUUGAGCAACAUGUAAAAGAAGCAACUUAAGAAUAGGCUCAACCAAAAUAAUGUGUGUGAGUCAUGGCAAAGCACUUGAGAAGACUAAGAUAAGGAUGAGCAUUACUCAUCAACAUAGUCUUGAUGAAAUGAGACACAAAGUGCAAGACAUAUCAUUCCCACACACACAUACUAGAAAAUGGGUUCACAAGCUUACUAAUAAACAAAAUAAGAACCAACGCUUGUGACAACCCAUGGUGAAGAUAGGAAAUAAGAACCUUGUCAAGAGGAGGGAUACCAAUCGAAAUGGCAAAACUCUCAUCAAAACAAGCAUGAGGAAAAAUAAUCAUCACGGCCAAAGAGUGCAUCAAUAUGUAGGAAAAUAAGAUACGCACUCAAGACAAAUCCUUUCACGAAGCCACCAAAAACUGAAAAAGGAAAUUCAAGGGUGGACGUGAAAGAAAAUAGGAUAUCAAUUAGAGAUGUAACUUAUCUCAUGUGUAAAAGAUUCUAAGUAGAAGACAAUCAUGAUGAUAUAUAUCCACAAAGAAGGAUGUACACACGAAAUGGUUACAAGAAGGAACAAACAAGAUAUCCAAAAGGAAGUCAUAAAUAUAUCAAUAAGAUCUUUGCUUGGUAGCAUAGCACAUGGCCUAAUAUUUUCUUAUUGUACAAUAUGAACUUCCAACAUACGAGCAUCAAAGACAUCCCAACUAGCAAUAAGACAUCAUCGUUCAGAUGCUUUGAGAAAGGAAACAAGUACUACAAGAACGAAUCAAGAGAUUCUUGCCAUGAUGCAACCUCGAAAAGAAAAGACAGGUUUGGGCCUUUGCAAGAAAUGAAUGCAUGAAGUAGAUACUUGUUACAGAGACAACAUUGGAUUGAUGUAGUAGAUAGUUGUUCGUUGAUCAUCCUAACUUGGCUCCAAUAACCACAUGGUAUCAACACCGUCCUUAUAGGUGAGCCGAGCAUCCAACGCGUCUCCAAUUGUUCCUGGAACAACAAAACAAACGAAAUGGUACCCAAGCUCAUUGGGACCAAAGAUUUAGAAAACCAACAAUACAUAGGACAAACUCCACAUAAAUAUGUACACAUAUAUAUGAAUUUGAAUUUCAUGCACACUUUAGCCAAUUUAUGACAAGGUGGAGUUUCCCCUAUAUAUUGGGUCAAAGAAAGAAAGCAAGCAAAAGAAGCUAUAUAUAGUAAAUAUGCAUGCUCAAGGCUUUCAAUAAUCAACUCAACACAAAGUUGAUAAUACACCAAAAGAAAAGGUAUCAAGUGAUAAUAAGAUACCAAACAAAAAA
rnacentral:lncRNA from 1 species